AGUUAAAAAUAAAAGUCCCCUUAACCAGACCUUAAGUUGAAUUUUGAAAUUAAAACAUUAAAAAAGAGGAGAUAUACCUCAUAUCUACAUCUAAUGUAUAAAGACUAAUAUCCAAACUGUUCUAUAAAAAAAGAACUAUACUUGCUUUCAAUUGGAUCAUUGAUUGGUGGGUGACCCAUUUGAACGUCACUCAAACGCAAUGGUAACUAAUAGCACCAGGAGAAAACUGAACCAUAUUAUCGAUGGCUUGGAGACAAUGCAUGACAACAUUUUGUCCUAUUCUCGUACUUUUGUUAAUGUCCCAACAAUUCCAACCAUACUCAUUCAAAAAUAUGAAAACAAGCAAUAUUCAAAGCAUUUAAAUUUAAGAUGAAUGAAGGUGUUGUUAGUUAAAGUCUCAUAUAGGCGGCAUUUGAAUGUGAAAACAAUCAAUUAAAGGAUGAUUUGGAGGUAAGUACGAAUCAUUGAAAGAGCAAAAAUUUUAUUGUACGCUGUCAGAAAAUAAUCAUAUGUUUAUGAUGAUUUCUUUUCUGUCAUUACAUAUCUUGUGAUCCGUCGAGAAACAGUCAAUUUAAAUUUUAGGUUCAUCUAAUACUUUUUAGUUUGAAAUUAAAGUAUUUAGAUAUGAUCAAAUGCAUGAUCAAAGAUAAUUCCUAUCUCUGUGCGGUUGACAGACAGCAAAGGUUCCCAUGAAAUAUCUUUUAUGCAGCACUUUAUUUUAAAUCAAUAACAGUAAUUAGCAUAUAAACCCUCGUAAUUUUAUUUUCCAAUAAAGAUUUCGUGUUGUUAAUUUUCUUGAAAUGCGUUGCUUGGCCAAGAAAUAUGAGAUCAGUACACAUUUGGAGUCGUUGAAGGGGAAACAAGGACAUUUUCAUGAAUUUUGUGAAGUCGUCAAGACAAUACCAGUCCCCUCGACACAUCGAAAAUAUUUUGAAAACUGGAAAGUGCCUACCAAAUGCAUGCUUACCCCUUCUAUGCAUCCUCUUUUUUUAAUUUGGAAGUGUUUUUGGUAAUUCGUUAGGGAAACAUGGAUGAAAUAAGAAAUGAUGUUCAAAACUUUGGCACAUGAGAUUGGAAUUGAACCGAUGACUAUGCAAACUGAUAUAAUUAUCCAUCUCCAAAGUCAGCCCACUAGCAAGGAAAGUUCACUGACCAAGCGAUCUCAUAUACACCUCCCUCUCUCUCUCUCUCUCUCGCGAAGCUCCCAUGGUUCACACGACUCUGUUCAUUUGUUUAAAGUAAAUGCUCUUCACGUAGGUGAUUUGAGGGGAUAGAGAGAGCCAUGGCUUUUCAAGAUUUGAAUGUCACACUUGAAAAGCAUUUGUCCGUUCAUUUUCAAAGAACUAUUGAUUAUUAUUGACUAACUCUUAAACUGCUCUGUUCAUUUUCUAUUACUAUUAGGAAUCUAAAUGUCCUGCUAUAUCCAAAAUCUUGGGGAAGGAUUAGAAAACAAAUUCAGUGUCCUGCAUGAGCUUCUAACAUAUGGUGAAUUUCGAAGUUGCACAUACCUUCUGGAACCCCUGCAUUGGGUUCUCCCUCUUCUUCAUUUACUGGGGGUGGCAUGUGAGUCAAAGCUUGAGGUGCAAGGUCUCCGCCGCCGCUGGGAUGACUCAAAUUCCAUGGCUGAAUGUUAGAAUUAACGCCAUGAGAUUGAGGAGGUUGUGUCCAGAAUAAAAUUGCCCCAUGCGUGGUCAUGUUUUGAGUAGGAAGAUACUGACUGGGCACAUUCAUCUCAUGCAAUGGAUGAAAGUCUGAUGAACUUGCACCUACAGUGCUUAUGGCAUUAGAGCUCAGGUAUGGCAUGGCAAGAAAUGAAGUCUCUCUCCAACCAUCUUCAUUGCUUGCAAUCACAGGCUGACCAUCUUCAUUGCUUACAAUCACAGGCCGACCAUUGCUUAUGGCAUUAGAGCUCAGGUAUGGCAUGGCAACAAAUGAAGUCUCUCUCCGACCAUCUUCAUUGCUUCCAAUCACAGGCCGACCAUCUUCAUUGCUUGCAACCACAGGCUGAUGCAGACCCACUUCAUCGUUAUCUGGUCUGCUGCUCGAUUCCACCACUGUUUUACCCUUCAUCGCCUUUCGGGCUUCCGAUCUCACUCGGCCAUCAACAUCCUUGCAGUCAUUGAUCCCAUAUCCUCCAACUCCGGCUAAGUGGGCCUUGAUCCUGGUCGCGCUUCCAGCAUACGGCUUCCCACAGAAGUUGCAGUUCCAGUGUUUGUUAGGCAGCAAUUUCACAUACUUCCAAAAGGGGUCCGUCUCUCUAGGCAUUUUCUCUGUAUCCCACAAAAGAAUGGACAGAUAAGUUUCAAGGAAGACCUUGAAUUUUUUGGGUGAAGAAUGACGCCGAGGCCUGUAAGAUAUUUAAUUAAUUUCGGACUUAGGAAUUGGGUCAAAAUCUUCAUCAAUCCCCAAUUCUUUUAGAAAAAGGCCCUGCUUCAGUGACCCCCACCCUCAUUUCUACCCAAGUUCUCUUUUCACUCUCAGAUAUGAAGAUGACAUGUUUGACUGGGUUCUGGAAAUUUUGCUCUUCAAAUUUGUAACUACUCUUUUGUUUUUUUUUUUUUUUUCAAUGUUAUCUUAUCUUUGGGAACGUGGUUUUCUUUCUUGUUCAAUGCUCAUGGGUGUGCACGCUCUUUCUUGGGUAAUCUCUCUAUCAUGCACUCUCCCUUCAGCCCCUAAUCUUGCCCCUUGCCUCCGCUUACAGCAAAAUUUCAUGGCCCGGGCUCAGCUGCAGCCUCAAGUUUUUCCAUUUACUUGGUUGGGUUCUUUACAAACUAAUUCUAAGGAUACAUGGUAAACUCUCCAGUUUACAAGCAUCAAGUAUGACUUGACCGGUGGCUUCCAAAAGCUAGUUUGAGUUGAGAUUUGCAACGUAGUUCAGACAUGGCUCUAUAGCAUCUGGGACGAAGCACCUGACUGACCACUCAGCUAAUUAUGAAAUUUAUUUUUGAUAAAGCAAUAAAAGUCUUCGUUCUGGGCUCACCGGCACCAUUAUGUAGUAGAGAAUACAUCCCGAUAAAAAGAAAAUCAACAAAACCCAGACAACCCAUGAAUCGACGAUUACGGAGCGACAUAAACUAGAGGACAUGAGACCGAAGUGCAAAAAUUUGGGUUCACAGGAGAGAAAUGGGAGAACGAAAAGGGAGUAGAGAGAUUGAGAGAGAGCGAGUACCUCCGAGCCGGUGAGAAGAGGGCUUGGGGUUGAAUCCCUUAAGAGAGCGUCCGCGAUGGGAAACGAGGUUAGCUGAAGCGGAGGAAAAAACUGGGGGCAACCCUCUGGUUUUGUGCAGAGGAAGGAGCCGAACACCUCGACGGACAUCGGAGACCUGCCUGGGACGAUCUAUAUAUAAUAAUCUUAAAACGUCUAGGACGUCUCAAGAAAAAGGUAAUCUACAUGUAUUCCGGAUGGGUGGGUUCACACUUGACUAAGCAAAACGUUUCUGACUGUCCAGUAGAAAGUAAGGCCUUUAUUUAUAAUAAUAAAAAUUAAGAAAACGUCUAAAACGCCUCAAGAAAAAGGUGAUCUAUAUAUAUAUAUAUAUAUAUAUAUAUAUAUAUAUUAUAUAUUCCGGAUAGGUGGGUCCAUACUUAGACUAAGAAAAAGUUUCGACUGUCCAGUAGAAAGUAAAGCCUUUAUUUAUAAUAAUAAAAAUUAAGAAAAUUUCUAAAACGCCUCAAGAAAAAGGUGAUCUACAUAUAUGUAUAUUUAUUUCGGAUGGGUGGAUUGUACUGACUAGGCAAAACGUUUUCACUGCCCAAUAGAAAAUCUAUCACUUUUUUUUGGAAAAAAAUCUAUUACUGACUCCACAAACAAAUUCAGUCGACGAAUGUUAAUAUGCCUAGAUUAUUAGAAUUAUUUUGAUCAUAUUUCUGACUAUCACAAAAUUUCAAUCAGCAUUUAAGCACCAAAAAAAAAAAAAAAGGAUUCGUCAAAAAAAAAGGAUUCUCACGAGUCCGCUCAAGGUUGGUUGACCCAAAGCAACGUGAAAAUUUUUGGGUCCAAGUUGAAUAGACUCGAUUUUUUGGCAGGUCAGGAAAAAUGUUUCGAGGGUGGAUUUCUUUUUUUUUUCCUCAUCGAAAGUAAAUAUUUUAUUCAUAUCUCGAAAUGAUAUAUAAGAGGUUUAAAAUAAACAUAUUCCAAAAAGUAAAACAACAAAACACAAAAUUGCUAUGAUUGGCACACUUUGAUUUUACAAGAAUGAAUUUGUCUCAGCAUCAAAACAUAACAAAGGGCAAUCGAUUACUAAAUCCCACAUCAUCCACCGUAAUCCCCUUGUUUAUUCAAUAGACGGUGCACGCUUAAGUUCAGCAUUUUAACACCACUAUCAUACAAAUACACUAAAAAUAAGUUGAAAAAAGCUCCCAAAUCUAAAUCUAGAUAGGAUGAGGUUGGACAAGCACAAAAACACCUCUAAAGAAUUCACAAAUUUAGAUUUAGAUCGGAAGAUAAAAGCUCCUAAAACUCGGAUAAGUCACUGCUUCCAAGGCAUUAGGAACUCAUCUUAUUUCUUCUCGAUUUUGUUAACCUUCUUAAUUUGGAGGAUCUCAAGCAAUGGAUUGAUAUCAAACGAUGAAAGCAAAAAAUAUGCCAAGAGAGCAAAGAAGAGUAUGGGUAGUGAGCUAGGAAAAACAAAAAAGAUUAGAUGAAAACAAUAAAACAUUCUCGGAUCAUAUCAGGAUAAAUAAUCUUAGUUGAGAAGAUGGAGCCUCCCUUUGACUGACCAUUAUUUUUCAGGCUUGAACGGGAACAAAUUUAAUCAUUGUUUUAAAUUCCUCCGGCUCUUAACGAAUGCUAAAAGGAUUGGUGUUUUUUAAUUUCAAACAAAUUCUGGUUCUUUUUCUCCAAUCAUAUCCUUAAUUUUAAUUUAGAUUUCAAUACAUAUUAUUAUUAUUAUUAUUUUAUUUCUCUUCCCCUGCCAUCCACUAAAUUCAUCAAUAACCGAAAUUUAUGUUGGGAGUUAGCCAAGGAGAUCGAGAGGGAGAAAUGAAAUAGGGAAGGGGGUGUAUCAGCCUUGACAAGACAUGAUUGCGAGAAAGUAGCAAAUCACGGCGGCGGUGGGGCUCGAGAGGGGGAGGACGGCAGGCCCCUCGGCGCAUGCACCGCCAUCCCUCUCUCUCCAAUGCGGUUGGGUCUUGCGACGUCAGCAAUUGGUGAGGCGGCCCGCACAUUUGUGCUGACCCGGAGCUCCAUUCGGCAGCUCCGUGUCCCCAUGCUUUGCUACUAAUCGAUCGGCAAAUUGGCCAAUAACAUUAUUAUCCUUCUCAGAUUCAAUACGCGCGCCCUUCUCUUCACAUCCUUAUCAUUUGAGAGAUCAUCUAAUCCAGCUACAUUGACAAUCUUGUCUUGUGGUUCAUAGAUGCUAAACUCCUAAGAUACAAUGACCGGAACACAUCAUUAACAUGACUUUCUUUACUAGUAGGCAUUUAUGGAACAAGGGGAGUUGGCACCCUUGAGGGUGUCUAGGCGAGUCUCUAGAGAGCUCAUUGGAUCUUGCCCAAUCAGUCGUAAUGAUCGUCACCAGUGGAUGGCGGCAACUGUGGCAGCCAACGGCAGUAAUGGUAGAAGGAGAAAAGAGAAGGAAGAAGAACAAGAACAAAAGAAGAAGAGAAAAGAAAAGAAAAAAAUUUGGAUUGCUUAAUUUUGAAAUUGUUCUCAAGAACAAAGAAAUAACUCUAUUUUACUCAUUGAUUUUUGUUCUCGAGAACAAAAAUUUACCAAACAAACUUCUGUUCCAAAACUAUUCCUGAAAAAAAAAAUAAUAAAAAUUGUUAUUAUUUGACAAGUUGCCGAACGCGUUCUAAGACCUACACAAUAAAUUGGUUUACUUAGUGAUGGGACAAUCUGUAAUUAGUUAUUUUCAUUAGCAAAAUCUUUUAACCACCCAAUAGAAAAUCCGUCACUUGACUUGGCCAACAAAUUUAGGCCCCGAGUGUUAUUAUGCCUGGAUUGUUAGAAUUAUUUUGAUUAUAAUCAAAAUCCCACACAUUUUUGUUCAAACACAACAUCCACGUAGGAAAACUAAACUCUUUCAAAACGUCCUUUAGUAUGUUGGUCCAAAGCUUAUGAUCAAAUUCCUACAUUUUCUUCUAAUCUUGUUUCAUCGCAUGUGAACCGUCUACUGUAGCGUCUUAUAUAAAUCAGCGGUUGACGCAUUAGCAUUGCAUCGUAUUACGUUGAUCCGUGAGCUUUAUUUUCAUGUGAGAAGGAAGUUGUAAAUUUUACGUGUGUAAAGUAAAUGGUUUGGGAAUUAUUUGGCAUUAACUUUUCCACCAGAUGAAAUUUUUUGCAAGCCAUCCGACCAUGUCAUGCUGUGUUUCUGAUUUUGGCAAUCCAUCCUCUUUUAAGUGGAUUUCCAUACAUCUAUGUACUUGGAUCUCAACACAUUCUUUUAGUGGGAGCUUAUAUGGUCCUUUUAAGGGGUUGAUUCUUCCGUCAUAAUCCCAUUGCAAUUCCAAACUUUUUGUCAUAAGUCUUAUGGAAAGUAUCAAUAAAACUUCUAAGUUUUCAAUCAUUGACCAAGUUCUGUCUUUUUCAUAAUUCUACGAAUGCCAACUCUUCUAGGAAAGAAGAAUUAUUUGUAUUUGUAUUUGUAUUAAUUCAGUAUCAAGGAUUGUACGAUUCCCUCCAUAUAUUUUUUGCCCCUUAAUUAAUUGCUCUACGCAUCACGAGGGUCAAUCUAGCUUGGUCCAAGAAAGGUAAUAGGCCAGGCUGUCCAGUCUGUCAAGUCCCGCUCACGUGUCGCCCUUUCAGACACAAGCGCGCGUCCUAUUCUUUCGUUUCUCACGUUGAAUUCGCCAAUUCGAUUUAUUCGUACAGCUUUCGCAAUCCGAGGACGGUGCCAGGAAACUCCCAACGUUUUGAUCGAUCAUGUCCUAAACUGGAUCCAUGCUGGCCCGGUAACCAAUAAUUCAAGCUCCAACCCCAUUAACGGAGUAGCUUAAAGUUAGAAGCACCAACAAUCAGAGGACCGUCGACAUAACUCGUCCUUACGAAAAUUUCGUAAAAAGGAUCUUCCAUCCGAGGACAACUAUCGUGUGCGAUCGCCCCGCGCGGUCUGCUUUCGAAAUGCUUCCUGUAGCUGCAACCAAUCUGACCAAUAUCUUCUUCCACUUGACCUCCAUAAUGGAGUUUUUUUUUUUUUCUUUUUUUGGGGUCGGAUCCAUAACGGAGUUUAAUGGAUCUUAACUGUGUGCCCUUUUUGCAUAUCUCCUUUUUUUUUUUUUUUUGCACAUCUCCUUUUUCAGUAAUGUGAUGAAGUUUUUAGCUGUAUGUGAACAGACUUUUGUUUGUCAACACGGUAGGACUUCGGUCAAGGACCGGAACUUCUCGGGGAUGGUGUGCUUCAAACUAGAAUAAUGACCCCACAGAAAGAUGGAAAGAAGGAACUCAUUAGUCUCGAAGUUGCCAAUUUUAUAUUGGAGCUUGUCGACGGGUACGUUUCGAUGACUAUAUUAUGGUUCGAUAACACUGGAAAGUAAUAUGGUCAUUUGACAUGCCCAAAAGCAUUUAAACAUAAUCUCAAAAGGAACUGGUUUUAAUGUUGUCCGGAUGGCAAGAUGGCCGGAACAGAUUGCAUCCCUCGCUAGGUUUCAGUUGGAAGAAUCUGAUGCAAACGGCAAUUUGGGUUCUCUGUCCACCCCAGAGGAAAUUCGCAAUGAAGACUGAAGUCACGGGGUUGAUUGACACUAUGGACUAUGAAACGGUCCACAUAGUUGCCUUUACAAUGGAUACGAUUACGGGAAAUCUGUGAUUUACUAGUCUAUUCUUUAUUAAUAUCAUAUUACUAGAUUCUAAAUACACAUAUAUAACUUGAGUUUGUGAUGAACAUUGACAUAAAAGUACUAUACAAAAAUGUUAGAAAAGACACCUACAUUCUAGAAAUCCACAAAAGAGUCAAAUUAAGUAUGAGAAAAAUAGCAAUUUCACCAUGACAAGUACAGUUACUAAGUACUCCGAAUUAACCAAUUCAAAUUACUCGAAGAGGCGCAUUCAAUUGACAGGGGAAACAAAGGAGUACAAAACGAUCACGGGGUAAUAAGAAUAGUAGGGAUUCAUGGAGGUACUUGAAAUGUCUUAACAAAUAAAUAAUUAUAGGAGUGAAAUAUUGAUAUAAUUUGAAAAAAAAUAAAAGCAAGCCUGGACCAUAAAAAAAUAAGAAAAAUAUAUAGGAGGACUUACUUGAAGAGUACUUAGCACAUGCAUUUCCUUCGAUACCUCGAUCUUGCUCAAAAGGCAAAUCAGAUUUUGCCAAAGGUUCAACUUUCCCCACAAGAAGUAAAGCAAUGCAUUCCUUGGUCCUCACAACAUCUUUUGUGGACGAGAACAAAACUCUUAACUCCGUCGGUUCCCUUUAUUUUAAUAAACACAUUCACCAAAAAAAAAACCACAUUCAUAAGGCUCUCCAUCUCCCAUGGACGACGCCGAUCUUGUGAUAUCUAUUCAUUUUAUUUGGGUUUUGGCUGAAACUUUUUUUUUAACACUUCUUUUGCUAAUUUAGAGCGUAACUUUUUCUACGAACCGUUCAGAUCGAUAGAUGGGGGUGCCUCGACAUCCCAAAGGGAUGUGAUUUACAACUCCCCUCCGCCCAAAAAAAAAAAAAGAAAAAAGAAAAAGAAAGAAAGAAUAUAAUGGAUGUGUGUUGUCUGGUUUCAUCAUCACUUCUGGUGGUAAACUGGCAACGCAUGUGACGCCCUGUACGCUACUUACAUACUUUAUGGAUAGGUCAAGAAUGGUGGGCAGUGUCGUGUCGUGAGAUCUGGUCGACCUGAGAGAAGGUGAGGGAAAAUAGUAUCAUAGCCUUGUUGACCAGCGUCUUGUAAGACACGUGCUCAAUUAAAUCUACGAUAACAACUUUUUUCACAAAAAUCUAUAAUAUAAUUUCUAAAUGAAAAUAAUAUGACCGUUCGGAUUAUUUUUCAAAGUCCAUAAAAUCUCAAUGGUACCAAAAUGUUCGAACUUGCCAGGUUUUUAUUUACUUCCCCAAUCAUAUAUUUCCAUACUUUAAGCUAAUAUUAAAGUUCAGCUUACUCGUGAGGAAGACUAUUAAAAUAUUUAAAUAAAAAAUCAUAUUUUCAUUUAACAACUUGAUUUUUUAAAAUAGUUGACAAUAAUCACAAAAUCUCACACAUAUAUUACUACAUCAUACUUUGGAGUCAUUUGAUGACCACGUUAGCUGAAUUUGGUCGGAUUUGGUCUCGGAAGCAUUUGAUUAGUAAAUUUGUUGAAGUAGAAGGAAUUACUUAGACAAAUUAAAAGUAUAAUAAUGUAAUCAGAAAAAGUGUGAAAGUACAAGGGCUAAAAGUAGAAAUUUUCUUUGUCCGAGAGAUACAAUUUUCCGCAAAUUCAACAUAGAGUUGGUUGUGCCACCUAGUGAGAGAGCUCCUUAAGCACCGAUGUUGCGGUAAACUCACCUUUCAUGUCAAUGAACUACUGGGGUUCUUGCUCUUGUGUAAGGGCAGGUUACCAUUCACGCUGGUACUUAAAUGUUUAAAUAAGAGGAUUAGAGUAAAAUUGUUAGUAACAUAAUGGCUAGACAUUUCUUUUUCUACAUUUCAAUAGCAGGGGUAGUAACUUUGAUCCAUCGUAAGUCUCUAAUCGUAAGCUAUAUGUUGCCUUGGACAACAUGGCAAUGCUGUUGAGAUAUGGACGGUUCAUUGUGUCGAGUACAAUGCCUUCAUCUGAAAAUAACUACGAGUCGAAGUUCGGUAUAAGGUGUUCUCAUCAGGCGAUGCAACUGCUUUAAGGCAACACAACAUCUCGAAAGAGAUGUUCUUGCAAACAUUCUCUCCUCCUUUUAGAGACAGAUUUUGUCAUCCUCGUUUCUCACGUCCGAAAGGCAUAACCAAGAAAAAUUAAGAUGAAAGAAAGCGAUCAUAUGUUCCCGUAGUCAAUGCUGCUGUCAUCGCCCGCGACCCUUAAAAUCUUCUACAAAGGAAGUAAUUGAGUGAAACCGAAAGACAAGGAAAAUCCAAUCAUCAAGAACAGUCAUAUAGGUCUCCAUUUAUCGGGUUUAGUUUAAAGUAAGAGAAUUGAGUUCUUUCAUACACUCGUGCAUGCACUCUCCCCACCUUCCGUUUCUGCCAUUGUAUCAUACAGAGGCUGAUUUAACGUCUCCAGGAGGUAAAACGCUAGUGUUCCUCCCAGAAUUGCAGAAACCGCAAAGAGUGCAAGGGGGAAGCCGCCUCCUAAGACCACCAUGAAAGGUGCCAAAGUCGGACCCAUUUGCCACGCCUGAGCUGCCUACGCCUGAGCUGCACAGCCAAGAGCUGCAUUCCUCACCACGGUCAGAAACAGCUCCACCGUGUAGAGAAAGAGCAAAUUAAACGUGCUGGCAUGCCAAAGAUCCGGAGAAUUCCUCAACACCAUCCUCACCACUUUCCAUACCCGUGUAACAUCAUCAAGCUCUGCCGUUAUUGUAAAGGCCGCCACCUCAGCCACCCCCUAGGGGAACACAUUAAGGUAAAGGUUAGUCAGGAGAUUGACGACAUUUAGGUUUAUGCCGUCGUACAUGACUGAAUACAGGAAGUUGAUUGCCACGGCCAAGUGAUAGGCAACGUCACCACAUCAAUGAGAGACCCCUUCGUGUCCAUAUGAUCUUUGCAGGAUCAAACCUGAUAUGAGUUUUCAUUCACUUCCUCAUCCAGUGCAAGGAGAGGUUGGGACACCUGGAGUGCCAUAACUUGGCACGGAGGGACAUUUAAGUGCUAUAAUUUUAAAAUGGUACACUUAAGUGCCAAUAUCGGAGUAAAAUGGAACACUUAAGUGCCACUCCGGCGAAAAUCCGGCCAAAUGGCUGACGUGGCAAUUUUCCGGCGAGUUUGGUCCAAAACGGCGUCGUUUUGCACGCUGACGUGGCGGAGAAAAUACAAAAACGACACCGUUUCGUGUCUACGUGUAAAUAAUAAUAUAAAAAUUAAUUAAAUUAUAUUUAAAAUUAAUUUAUUUAAAAAAUUAAAAAAUUAAGAAAAAUUUNNNNNNNNNNNNNNNNNNNNNNNNNNNNNNNNNNNNNNNNNNNNNNNNNNNNNNNNNNNNNNNNNNNNNNNNNNNNNNNNNNNNNNNNNNNNNNNNNNNNAUGAACGGAUCGACUAAAUUCGCCGGAAUUCGCCACGUAAGUCAUUUGGUCGGAUCUUCGCCGGAGUGGCACUUAAGUGUCUCAUUUAACUUCAAAACAGGCACUCAAGUGUACCAUUUUAAAGUUAUGGCACUUAAAUGUCCCCGGUGCCAAGUUAUGGCACUUGAGUUGUACUUUUGCCAGUGCAAGGAUGACCCCAUCGGCGAGGUUUUCAUGUUGGCUUUGGCGAUAGCUCGCACAAGCUUCACGCCCUCGUCAAUCCUCCCACGGAAAAGAUAUCACUGUGGGAAUUCCGAGUUGUAAGGGAGGACAUAGCAUGGAGGGAAUGGAGGAAGCAAUGUAGAGAGCCCGCCUAGACGGAAACACAUAGAUGAUGCCGUACGAGAAGAUAUAGAAAGUGGACGUUCCUGCUGCCCCGCGAGGCUCAGUGAAUAUCAUGAAAGCGCGUACGAUCCCACCCGUGCUGAAUCCGGUAAUGAAGCGGACGGGGCAAUAGGUCUAGUAAUCCGUAGGGUCGUCAAGCAACAAAGGUGGUGUUCAACAUACAACCACCUUGAGAGAGCCUUUUCUUCUCAAGAACGAGUCUGAGGCACGGCCAAAUGUUCCGGCUCCUGCGACAUACGGCAUAAGAAGCCACCAGACUAUGAAUCAAUCCCUCAGAAAUAGCGUCUCGUUAAGCAGAUAGAUAACAAGUUUAUGCGUAGACGUUUGUAAUUGCUUCUGUUUAUAAUGCACCCUCCUACAGUUUCUUGCAUGAGGAGGAAAUCCAAUUAAUCGAAUCUAAAUUGAACUAUUUGUUUUUCAUUUUGCUUCCAUUUAUCGUUUGACGCUCGAGUCAAGAUUAGACGAUUGUUCUUAGGAAAAAGGAUGAUGAAAAGAAAGAGACUGAUUGAGUUGACUGCUUUUCCAUCAACUAGCCCAAGCUGAGAAUUAUACUGCAUCUGUGAGAUUGAAGAGUAUUUUCUAUGAAGCUUAACCACAGCCAGUCAUACAUUCGAUAAGGAUAAUUUAAUUUAAGUUGUUGGUUAUAUAUCACAAAGUUCCUAAAGAAUCAUGACAAGGCCCAUUCGGAGGACCUUUCAAUUUCCCUUCUGCAUACAUCAUCUACGUCUAUCAUUGGUUUGAUUUCUGCUAAGUGCCUGAGGUGCUGGUGCUAGUCCUCGGACUACGGUCACCGAAUCCGGGCCGUGACAAUUUUGUAGGUAAAUUACAUCUCCGCUUUGUGCCUAAAGGAGCACUUCGUCAAUGCGCUCUCUCUCAUCCCCACACACACUUGCAUUUGCGAUCAAUGUCAAAUCCAAUCAACAGUCACGUUUAUAUCACCAGCUGUCCUAAUGCAUAAGACUCUAAGGACGUAAAGAAGGACGUGGCAAACAUAACCCAAGAAGAAAGUUAAAAAGAGUGUUCCGCGACAAGAUGUGAGAGUGCUAGUAUGAACAAAAUAAAGGAGUUAAGGAAGAGAAUAAGAACACAAGAUUUAUAGUGGUUCGGCUUAAUCCAAGCUUACGUCCACUCUCCCACGAUAACAGCCUUUUUGGCUGCAUUCCACUAUGCAAUCAACAAGAGAUUACAACUCCGAGUGCAAACACUUAGUAGUAGAUCACACUAUCUCACUAAGUCACUCUCUUGGUAUUUCUCUCAUGAUUACAAACGUUUAAGCUCUCAAGAGACAAGUAUAUGAUCUAAAGUCGCUUAGACUUUGGAAUUAUAAAUUCUACGCUCCGUCUCUUACUUGCUCAUCGGUCCAUGAUCUCCUUAAAUACUCCUCCACUUCCAAACUACCGUUGGACAGUAUCCCGGAGAAUCGUCUUCCAAUAUACCCAUUGGACAGCUCUGUAUCUAGAAGAUUUGGUAGCCGUUGAGUGACAAAGGUAAAAUCCCAAAUUGAUUCCGAUCGCCCAUACAAACAAAAUCUUGGUUUCCAUAAGUAAAGCUUCUUCAUAUAGAAAGUUCUUGUCUUCAUCAUCCAAUUGUCAAUCAAUUAGAUUGAAUCAAUCAAAUCAAUCUUGAUGUGGAAUCCAAACCAGAUCACUAGCCGUUGUAUGAUUGGGCUUGAGUUACGAUUCAUCGAAUCUGGAUGUAAAGUCUAAGUCUUGAGACUUUACGAUAUGAGUCUUGAGACUUUACAAACUGGGUCUCUAGACUUUACAAUCUGGGUCUGUAGACUUUAAGGUCUGUACCCAAUUCAGCUUCAGCAUAGAGUCUGUCUUCAGACUUUGAGUCUUGAGUCUGGCAGUCUUCAGACUUUGAGUCUCGAGUCUGGCAGUCUUCAGACUUUGAGUCUUGAGUCUAGCAGUCUUCAGACUUUGACACAGAAGUCUGGAAAUCUUCAGAAUAUAUUUUGGACAUGUGUUACGUUCAGUCUUCUGGUCGUCUUCUGACUUUGAUAAUAUCCUCUACAUGUUUUAACAUCUGCAUGGUCUAUUACUCAACCAUCAAACAUGUUAGUAGCCUUUGAUUUAUUUUGUCAUCUUCAAAACAUCAUAAGGGAUUUCCCUAACAAGAUGCCCACCUGAAAAUCGGUUCUACUUACAAGGAUUUAUUCACAUCAGAAAAGAAAAAAGAAAAAGAAACUCCUCAUAUCUCCUCUCGCGUCCUAUCGUUUCUCUUCUUAAACUUUGUUCCUCUAGAGAUAUUUGUCAUAUUUCUUUUGAUUUUCUAUAUCUAUUUUGAUUAUACAUAUCUAAUUUAAUUGUCUUUGAUAGUAUAGACUCUCCAUGUACUCUUUUCUAUGCAUCGAAAUAUAGGAAAUUUCCUAUCCUCUCUCCCAACAAGAUGUUAUUUCAUGUGUUAGAAUAAUUUACCUAAAUGAAUAGCUCUUUGGUCUACUUUAUUUCUCAGUGGCCCUUUUGACAUGUAUCUACAUUGUUAAAACAGAGAAUUAUUUUCGUUAUUUGAGUUUAAUGAGAUCUGAAAAAGGAUAAGUCAAAUUUUACUUUUCUAGACUUCAGCAUCUUUCCAACAAGGUUGUCAGUAUUCAUUUUGUUUUACUAAAUGAGAAAUGUUGGACAUACAAAAUAUUUCUAAAACUGAUAUUAAAUUUUCUGCGGCCCUUAAUCCUUUGUCAUCUUUAUAUUCCGAUCGUUUCAUGAGCACGAAAAGUGAUUGUUGGACACAUAAGGAUUUGUAUAUCAGUUGAUGCCGAAUUUUCGUAUAGUUAGAAUGACUCUUUUUGUAAAGUCAGUGCGAGAAUCAUGUUUUGCAUGUACAAGGAGCGCCUUGGCUGCAAAAAACAAAACAAAACAAAAGAGCAAGGACCAUUGCCACUAUUAUUCAUUCAAAAUUAGGGACUAUGUUUUUUCCCUUAAUUUCCAGACAGCGCCAUAACAAUGAAAUUUCAAUAAUAAGAUAACCAUUACGCGACACUUUCAAGCUGAAAUGAAAGUAAUUGUGUGGUACGACACAAGGGAUAGAACCGGAGGAAGCGUUCAAGUGCAUACGGGGCAAGAAGAAGGUCCCACUCCAGCGACUCCCAUGUUUGCCGAUUGUCUAUUGUAAUCACUCGAAGAGAAGGCUGAGGAGACGGGAGGCCAUCAUCAGGCAAGAAGAGCUGCACAGGAAUGGUCUUGAGGUGAGGACAUCGUUUCGCACUAAUAUAUCCUAGGGAAUGGCAACUCAUGGUGCCAUCAUGCCAUCACAUAUGCUCCUCAGUUUCGGAAGAUCCCAUAGAGUCGGGCAUGUUAAAUCUGGGAAGGAGGAGGGCGUCAUGUUGGGAACGGUGCCUAUUAUCACCUCUAUUCCCUCGCACUCUUCAACACCUGUUGGAGGAGAGGGAGGUGGAGCAACAUGUUGUGUGUCAGCAACACCUCCUUCACGUUGUUGCAUCCUUUUAUUAUGAGAUUUUUAAGAAGACAAGUGACACCUCUUGGAAAUGGACCGCCAAUCAUCUCCUCUAAUUUCUCACAAUAGCAUGUUGUAAUGCACUCCGGGUUUGGAAGGCAAGUGGUCAGCCACUCCCAUUCCACCGCUCGCUUCAUUUUAGGACACUCACCCACAGAAAUGUUUUGAAGACUAGCUGCUGCUAUAUUAAUCCCUGUAGUACCUCUGAGCCCUUGAUAUGCACAAGUAGUAGACUUGGAAGCCCCUGCCCCUCUUCUAACUUCAGUCUGGAGCACCCAGUCACAUUCAAGCUCCGUAGGUGAGGGAAGUGGAGAGGACCCAGCUCUUCCAAGUUAUCACAUCCAUAUAUCUUUAACACCUCCAGGAUCUCAAGUGGGCCCAUGUCGCAAAAACUUGUCAACCCAUCGCACAAUCCUCCAUCCAGUACUUGAACAUUUUUCGGAAGUAGGGCACAGCCAUCCCCACUAAUCCCUCCAUCUACUCUUGCUGCGACACUGCCGCAACUAUCAAUUAUUAUAUGCCUCUUUUGAUCAUGCCAACGGUAAUCCUCUACUAAUACAUUCAACGCCAGACUACUGUUGGGAGCUGUCCUGCCCGAGAAGCCUCACGCAUGCAUCGAACGUUUCCACAUCUGGAACGCAGCAAUAGAGUGCUUCCAUCUUCUUUAAUUUUGCCUCUUCCCCUGCCCCCAUCUCUUGAAUCGCAAGAUAUUGUAGGUUCCCCAGCUUCCCUAGCACUCCUUCUGGUAACAUCUCAAUCUUUGUGCCAUCUAGGUCGAGGUACGUUAGCUCUACCAGCAUCUCCAAACCCUCUGGCAUUUUUUCAACACCUGCACAUCCUUUGAGGUCCAACUUUCUUAGGGAUCCCAACUUUCCUAAAUAAGAAAUACGACAUAAUGCUGUACACCAUUGCAGUAACAGUGCUUCCAAGCUCUCCAAGUAACAGAUGGGGUCCGGUAAUUCAAUGAUUCUAGUGUUUCUGAGAUCAAGUACCUUCAGCCCAUUUAGAUGCCUGAAGAAAGAUUUAUGGAUGAAUUCAAACUUGACAUUGCCACCCAACAAGAGCCUUGUAAGUUUAGGGCAAUUUGGUGAUAUACUGUACGGGAUUUGUUCCAUUUUGUUGCCUUGUAGAAAUACUUUUUCCAAAUGAACAGUCCAGUAAUCUUCCUGUGGAAUAUCUUUCAAUCCCCAGCAGGCCUUGUUCAUGUGAGUUAUGCUCGUCACUGUUUGCAAUGUCAUAUCUCUUAUCAGGGGGUGCACAGGCACCUCUUCUUCUAGAUUAUCCCAUAGACAAGCCUUUCUGAUUUUACCUAAUAUGGUGUUACAUUGGUCGUAUAGUUCUUGCCGAGUGGCAAUUCCACCUAACAAGCCCUCAUCUAUGAAAGACUCUGUCAAAUCCUCCCUAUGAGCUUAAGAAAUAUCUUUUGCAAAACAAAGUAUCAAAUGCAGGAAACAUUGUUGCACUUGAGGAUUACCCAAGUUCAUGUAAUUGAGUUUCAGUUUCUUGAACGCGUCAAGUUCCAUCCUCGAGUUUUCUAAUCUCUACAACAGGUCUUUCCAUUUGUGCACUUCCUCCACUCCCCUCAUAGGAGUCGCAAUCUCAAUGAUCCCAAGUGGCAAACCCCCACACUUAUCCAUAAUAGACCUUGCAAUUUUUUCAACUUCUGAUGGAAGUUUCUCAAAGUGAAGUUUCUCCGAAAGUAAGCUCCAAUAAUCAUGCUCAUUUAGUCAUUCUAUUUUCAUUUGUUUUUGGCAUUGCAUCUUAUGACACACAUCAAGAGAUCGAGUUGUCAGUACCAAUGUGACAGCCCAGGCGGCGGUGCACAGGAAGGAUGGAUGGUGGUGCGUCUGGGCCUCGGUCCCCGGACGUGCGCAGGGAGGGGGCGCGUCUCCUAUCCCACAUCGCUUAGGGGGGAGAGUCACGGUUUAGUUUAUAAGGCUUGGUUUUCUAACCUGUGUAAUGCAUUUUAAAGCCGUGAGGGCCAAAGACUCAAAGCGGAUAAUAUUACACACUGGGAGGCCCGGGUCCUUAUAUAUGGUAUCAGAGCCAACUUCGGAUCGCGUGUGGGGCCGUAGUGAGGGUCCCUUCCCAAGGGUAGGAGGGAUGGCGGUACGUCCGCGCCCUCGGUCCCCGGACGUGCGCAGAGAGGGGGUGCGUCUCCUAGGCUAGUUUAUAAGACUUGGGUUCUAUCCGGGUCCUUACAACCAACUUAAGGCCAUUCUUUUCAACUGGAAUUCCAAAGUGUGCAGAGAGGGGGUGUGUCUCUUAAGCUAGUUUAUAAGACUUGGGUUCUGUCCGGGUCCUUACAACCAACUUAAGGCCAUUCUUUUCAACUGAAAUUCCGAAAUCCUCAACUUCGAAGUGCAUCCAUAGGCCAUCUAAAUAUUAUUGAACUUAGGAUUCUCAAGCAGCAUUCUAUUAUGGACAUAAGUUUAAACGGCUGCUUGCCAACUCAUCCCAUUCCAUAAACGCCAAUAAUGAAAAUCUCAUCUUCCGUCAAAUAGUCACAGAUCUUUUUAAUUAAUUCUCACUUUCAUUGCCUAUUAGCUUUGAUAUUACCAGGGGUGAGCUUUUCCUGUAUCCUGCAGCACAUGUCGUCGACCCUCUUUGGAAGCUAUUGUGAGCUAGAAUGUCUUCAACUUCUUUACUUAGGUCAUCUAGUCGCUCCACUUGCUGCGGAGAAAGAGACCUACCUUCUCCGAAUGAUUGCACCACGCUCCAUUGUUCCCCUUUUAUCCUUUUCGCUUUCCUGCACCACGUCUCCAACUCAUCCAUGUCAGCUUCUGUGCUGCUUAGUUCUUCCAGCUUUAGUUUCAGAGUUGACAUAUUCUCACCGACAAGCCCACGGGUACCUGGUUAGUUAUCCAUGAGUGCAUCAUCAAUCCUCGUAUCUAAUAUCCACGAGUGCAUCAUAAAGCUAAAUGAAAAUUUAUGAAAAGAAGAACUAAGCAAUUAUGUCGACGUGAAAAUUUAAUAAAGGAUUAAGGGUGUAAAUAAAGGAUCGAGGAUUUUUCCCCGAGGUGGUUUGUACGAGCACUUGCCUUGUUGUUGGGGGCAUGGUCUCUUAAUGGGUUGAUCAGUCUGCAUGUCUGAGGGAUAUUGGGUUUAAAUUCUACUAUGGGUUUUGGGUCUGUUGGGUUUUAUUACUUGAGGUUUGGGUUGAACCUUUCGGCUCUUUAGGUUUCUAUGAGAUGGGUUGAACUGACAAUUGGGUCCAGAUGGGAAGUGACUCUCCUUACACUUUACAUUAAUAUAUAAUAUGAAAAUUAAAAUAUGUAUUUUAGCAUAAAUUACUCAUUAAAUUGUAUCAUAUUUAUAUGAAUCUUCCUCUUUCGAACAAAAUAAAGGUGGAAUUCCUAGUUCCUAUUAUCUCUUAAUAAAUAGUAUGAGGAUGCAAUCAUAAUUAAAAAAAUCCAUAAAGGCUGCUGACAACUGCAAUACUAUAAUAUUGAGAGAAAAUAAUAAAUAUUUAACAAAGAAAUAAACAUAUAGUUUAUAGGAAGAGUUACAACACAUGUUAGAAUUUUAGAUAAUUGUUAUGUAACAUUAAAACUCAUUAAAACUCACGAUCUUUUAUUGGACAAAAUUCACGGGAUUGAACGAGGCAAGUACAAAUCCUAAUUGAAAGCAAAAUAAGUAGUGAGUGCACAAACUUAUUAUUAUGUACUUGUUUAGAUACUGGCUUUCAUGUACCUAUUAUUUUAAAAAUUUUGAGCAUUACAACAUUAGACAAAUUCAAAUCAACCCCAUAAGCUAAGAGUAGAACUUAUAAAGUAAAAGCCACUGUAACGACCCUAAAUUGUAUCUUGAGAUUAAAAUUGAAAAGAUAAGAUACAUAUGAUUUCCACAUCUAAUCCACAAUGACCAGCGCCAUGACUUGUCCUAUUAAAAAAGCGCUAUACUUGCUUUCAAAUUGAUCUUUGAUUGGUGGGUGACCCAUUCAAAUGACGAUAACUAAUCGCCCGAAGAAAAUCUUUCGUCCUGCUAUCGUAUUUUCGGUAGUGUCCCAACAAAUGCACUUGCUACUAGGCAGAACCUCAACAAGCUCCCAUAAUGGAUCCAUCGCUCUCGGCAUUUCCUCUGUAUCCCACAGAAGAAUAAACAGACAUAAUUCAAGUGACUGGGUACCAACAAGGAAAUACUUUUUGUUGUUUUCAAUGUUUUCUUCUCUUUUGGAAGGCAGUUUUCUGUCUUGUUCACUGCUCAUGCUCGUGUAGUCUAUUUCUUGGAUAAUUUCUCAGUUGCCAUGGCCUUGUUGCGCUGAAUAUGGCAGUUUGUCGCAGCCAAGCGCUGGUCUUGUGAUUGCCAAUUAAAGAUUGCAAGGAGUGCAACCUCACUUGCAAAUCUACACUCAUCGAGCUCAAAAUCUCGCCCUUGACUCCGCUUACUGCAAAAGUUCCAUUUACUCGAGUUCUUUUAAUGUCAAUUAAUUCUAAGGUUGCAUGGUAAACUAUCCGAUUUACAUGAGUGGAGAUUGCGAUGUGAUGCAGACUAGAUUAUAUAGCAUCUCUGACCAAGCGCUGGACUGACCGCUCAGCAAUUUAUGAAAGUUAUUUUGACACAGCAAAAAAAGUCCUCGCUCUUUGCUCACCGGAAACGUUGAUUAUCUUAAGUAAUUAAGAGCGCAUUCUGGAAAUAAACUCCAGAACAGUUGUUUCCGAAAAAGACCAGACAAAAUUUUGGUAAGACCUGGUCACCGCAACUCUUUCUGUUUAAUCUGUUGUUAGUUGAAGUGCCAAAAAAGAGCUUGAGAGAUCGCUAAAACGAUAUUUACAAGUGGGUAUGAUAUGAAACGUACCAGAAGAAGAACCAAAGCUGCUCUUGAAAUUCUAAGGCACAGAUCGUCAUUACCAUCCAAGAUUCCGACAAAGAGUUGGGUUUGUCUGCACCAGUGCAAUUUUAAGAGGAGCAAAGGCAAAGGUUGUCGUAGUCAAACCAAAAUAGGUUCCCUGGGGAACAAACGAUGGGCGUCUGGCCUGGAAAAAGUCAAAAAAAAAAAAAAAAAAAAGGCUUGCUGAAUGCGUAUGAGAAAACAGAGAAAAGAGACUUGGCCAUGGUCAAAGUCUUCAACCACGCUUCAGCCCCUAGAAGGUAAAUAAUAAUAAUCUUCAGUUCUGCAUUACUCAAGUCGACAACAAUUUUUGGGGUGGCCUUUUACUCUGGAUGCGAUUUGGAAAGGAAUACAGCAAAUGGAUAUGAACUCCCCGUUUCCUCGUUUCCAUUCAUUAUUAUAUCAUCCUUCCUAUUUGUAUGUUUAUGAUCAAUCGCACAUCAUUGCAUUCUCAACUAAAUUCUGUGCAGAUAAUUAAGACAACUUGAAAUCUCGGUUGUAGCAUGAGCCUUUAGAUUCUGCUACUUGUAUGGUGAAUUCGGGAGCUGCACGAACCUUUUGGGAACGUCCUAAUUGGUUCCAUUCUCUUCAUCAUUUUGGUGGAUGUGCAAUGUCAACCAAAGCUUCUGGUACCACAUUCUAGAUGGAAGCUGGGAACGAUGGAAUUCUGCUGUCGACGGAAUGAGAAACUCCGCUCUGUCCAAUUUUGUUCUGAUGAGGGAGAGAUUGGAACGCCACCCAGCAACUGAGGAUCAGAUGAAUUCAACUCAUCUAAUAUAAGAUAAGACGAUGCAGUUGCACCCACGGCGAAUGAAGGUUCUUUGGAGCUGUCUUUCUUGCUCAUGGAUCGAUGCUAAAUUGGUGGAAUGUUGGAAUUCAAUAACUGAAUGUAGGAUCAGCCUUCGACUUUCCCUUCCAUUCUAUCCUCAACUCCUUACGCUCAAUUGCUUUGGGGACUUCCCCGCGCACUCGCCUAUGGACAUCCCUGCACUCAUUAAUCCAAUAUCCAGGAAUUUCUCUGCUAACUGCCCUUGAUCCUUGUCACCACUUCGCCGCCACCCUACUCCCUCCCGCAGAAGUUACGCUUCCACUUUCGUUUUCGAGUCGAACUCCAGCAAAACAAUUUCGCAUAGUGGAUUUAGGAACAAAUGACUAUCUUUCUGCCUUCCUCAGUUUUCAAAAGUAGACAGUAUCAUAGGAUUCCACUCGUUUGCUUGGUGGGUGGGUUCCUUUUGUCCCUCAAAUCCGACAUCAAUGACAGGGCAACCAACACAGCAAACUCCUCAAUGUGAACAAAACCCUGCACUCCAAACCCUCUCUCUCUCUCUCUCUCUCUCUCUCUCUCUCUCUCUCUGUGGCCUGAGAGCUUUUCUCUCCCUUUCAUGGGAGCUUUCUUCUCCCGAUCUCGAUCUGGGAGUUUAUUUGCAUCCCGUAUAUUAUUUCUUUCUUUCUUGGCGUGCUGCGGAUGCUCCUCCAUUGAAGGUGGCCGAUUCGACGAAUGAGUGAGAUCCCCCACGUUUUAGAGUUUUCCCCCGCUCACCCUACAAGGAAAACCAAACCCUCUCCUUAAAGACCAGUUACCUGGACCCAUACCAGAUCCCACGCCACGAAUUCCUCCAUCUUUAAAAGGUUUGGGAUCUAACCCUCCUUCCGACAACCGAUUUGAGACGUCCACCUACUUUCUCCGUAUCUUGCUGAGAUAUGUGGAAGAGUGUGCACGCCAGGUGUUUGGUUGAUUUUCUAGUACAAAGGUAAUUUCAUAGAUCAGCGGUUGGCUCUCUAUUCAGAUACAUAUGGUUUGAUUUCUUGGAGUGCUGUUGGAGAGCUGUGGUUCGUUCGUUGGCGGUGACAGAUGGUUUUUGUUUUUUGGGUCUGAUAGAUAUCUGAGGAGUGACUACCUUUUUAUGUUAAGCGGAAAUAUGGAGGCGGGCCAAAUUAUGCCCCUAUUGUUGCCAUAUAUAUUAUAGCUUGGAAUGAUAGUUGAAGGCCACAUGCCGAUCUUGUGACCUAGAUAUUGUGUUUCUGUCAAAGAUAAAAUGUGAUAUUAGACGGAUAAAGACUCGUAAAAGGAUUGGAUUUAGUUAGUCAUUCUUGAUUCCCACAGAAAAUAUUGCAGGAGGAUUAGUAGUCAUGUGAAAAUAUCUUGUAGUUUUAUCAUUUUUUUUUUUGCAGAUAAAAACUGAAUUAAUAUUGAGGUUUCUAACAUAGAAAAUCCGAAAUAGUUGUGAUGGCUUUCAUUGUUGUACUCACCUCUUUAUUGUGGUCUUAAACGAGUGGCUUGGGAAGAGUUUAAUGAGACUAUUUAUUGUCCUCAGGCAUCCUAUUAAAGGGGCUUGAGCCCAUCUCGUCACUCUUUAGUGGACUUUAUAGGUCUAGUGGGGCGUGUUGAUCUUAGCUUCAGAGGCAAACCUUAUAAUUGGACAAAUGGCCUAGAGGGCUUUGCAAGCAUUCGGAACAGAAUGGCAAUUUGUUCGACACCGUAGUGUAAGAAAUUCCUUAAUUGGGGGUUGUCCACUUGCCGGUGGUAAACAUGGAUCGCCCUCCUAUUUUACUGAAGUCAACUUCUCCUGAGGAUAAUUCGAGACAAUUUUUUAAAUUUGAAGCCGUAUAGCUGCGGGACUCAACUAAUGUUAACGAAGUGGAAAAGGCUUGGAACAACGAUACGGUAAAUAAUUCAAUGACCUCAUGGCAUAGGAAGCUAAAAUCGAGAGAACUCUCAAAAGGUGGAAUAAGGAACAUUUUUGAUAUUUGCCAACGGUGCCUUAAGGAAUUGAUGGUGUCGCUUGAUUCCAUUCAAAAGGAUGAGCCUUCGUAAGAGGAGCAGGAGGACAAAAAGAAAUCAAGGCGGCUACUAAUGAGCAAUGGGAGAGACUACGUUUUAAAUGGCCAAAGUUCUUUAUUUCUUUGAUCUAGUUUGUUCCAGACGAUGUAUAUUCUUCCAUUAAGUUGGACAACCGCCGAUGGGCGAGACUUGCCUGGAUUUGGACCCCCAUAAGUCGGGAUCGUUUCCAUUGUGGAUUAUGGGAGGCUCACUUAAUCGACAAUUCAAAUGGCAUCCGUUCUAUUGGUCGAGACACAGGCGAAACUUUUCCCUUUGAGCAUAGUCCCAGUAAAGACCUCAAGCUUCUUGAUGUGGCAGCCAUUUGUCCCCGUCCGCCAAAUGAAAAUUUUCGCAAACCAUCCGGCUGGCCACGCUAUGUUUCUGAUUUUGGCAAUCCAUACUCUUUUAAGUGGAUCUCCAUAUAUUUAUGUAUUUAAGUCUGACAGAUCUUUCAAUGAGAGCUUGUAUGGUUUUUCUGAAGGGUCGAUCCUUCAAUCAUAAUGCAACCGUAAUCACACUUUUUAUGGUAAUUCUUAUAUGAAGUGUCAUAAAACUUGACAUUUUCAAUCAACGGCUGAGUCCUUUUCUUUUAAAGUUCGACAAAAGAAAAGUACUGAAAAAGUCAUAAACUUAUCGUGUUGAUACCAAUUUUGCAUUAAACAAUGUAAUCCUAAACUUUUUCAUAUUAGUACCAAUUUCAUCCAUCCGGCCAAUUUAGAUUAAAAAUGGCUAACAUGGAUACCAGCCAUUUUACGUGUCAUGGUCGAUGAUGACGUGGGCAAAUUUUAUUAAUAUUUGUGAAUUUUUAAAUAAUUUUUUGAUUUCUUUACGGUGGCCACCGAUAAAAAGUAAGAAAGAAAAGAAGAGGGAAAUAAGAAAAAAUUCACAAAAAUCAAUAAAAAAAUUAUUAAAAUUUAUCCACAUUAGUGUCGACUAUGCCAUAUAGGACGGUCAAUUUUCACAUCAUCGAUUUCCAACUUAAAUUGACCGGGUGGAUCGAAUUAAUAGUAAUAUGAAAACGUUUAUGACUAAAUUAUCUAAUUAAAAAUUUAGAAUUGAAUUAGUAUAAAUGUAAUAGAUUUAAGACUUUUUUAAUACUUUUCCCAUUUGACAGACACCACCUUUGUGAGAAAUGGUGUGUCGACGGAUUAUACAGGAUUAUACAAUUCCCAUUCGUUUAUUUUUUACCCUUUUAUGAGAUAGCAAAAUAAAUCUAUGAAUCGGAAGGGCAGGUCCAGCUUGGCCCAAUAAAGAUUGGGCUAGGCUGUCCAGUUUAUGAAAUCUUACUCAUGUGAGAGCCCAUUCUUAUCCAUGUCGCCGAAUGCUCUCCCCUCUUUUUUUUUUUUUUUUUUUUUUUUUUUUUUUUCAGGUAGAAUUUGCCUAUUUUAUUUAUUUUUGCCAAACUUUUCUUUCUUGGUCAUACUAUUUUUGCCAAACUUGUCAUCUUUGAAACGUGCUAGGGAUUUUACAACAUUUUAACUCGCUCUGUCCUCGCCCAAUGACCACGAAUUCAAGCUUCAACCUUAUUAAUGGAGUAGCUUAGAAGUGCCAACAGUUAGAGCGCAUGAACAUAACUUGUUCCACUUUAAUAUCCUAAAAAAGUCUUCCGUCCGAGGUCGACAAAUGCGUGCAAUCGCUCGAUGCUUCCUCUGGCUCCUGACUGUGACCAAUCUGUCGGAUGUGUUCUUCCACUUGAAUUCUAUCAUGUAUUUCUUAGUCAAUGACUGAAAACAGGAACAAAGAUAAGAUAAUGUAGUUUAAUGGAAUUUGACUGCAUGCGCUUUUGCAGAUCUCUUUUCUUUGGUGACGUGAUGAAGUUUCUAGCUGCAUAUGAACAACUUUGUCAACAUGGUCGAAAUUCGGUCCAAGACCGGAACUUCCCUGGUUGAGCUUCAUGCUAGAAUAAUGACCCUAGAAAGAUGGAAAGAUGGAAACCAUUAGUCUCAAAGUUGAGAAUUUUUAUAUUGGAUCUUGUUGAUGGGUGCGUUUCCGACACUAAUUUAUGGUUCGAAAACUUCGGAAAAUCAAUAUGCAGUGAUCUGACAUGUUGCAAAGCAUUUAAGCGAAGACCUUAAAAGUAACUAGUGUUAACGUUUUCUCUGGAUGGCAAGAUGGUUUCAACAGACUGAAUUCCAUCCAUCACCAGGCUUCGGAUUCUCUGUCCAGCUCAGAUGAGAUGAGCACUGAAGACUGGUGUCACGGUAUUGAUUGAUGCUAUGGACUUCGAAGGGUCGAUAUAGUUGCCUCUACAAUAGAUGAGAUAAGGGGAAAUCCGUUUUUUACUAGUCAAAGAAAUGAACUUUGGUCAACGUAUCAUUGUCAGAUGAACAUCUUACCCGUGAUCCUCCCUCUUAUUUCCGCUAUCGUAAGUCAAAUUCUGACGUUUAAAGUUGAAAACACAUACUUUAGUCCCCAUUGAACAACCAUUCACCAAGUCCACGCUUCUCAUAUUUUUCGCCUUAAACUUCGUUAAUUACGACAAAUGGCAGUCUCUUUAUCCCUCCAGAAACAAAGCUCAAACCUUGAACACCCGCAGGAUGGAUAGCUUGUGUCUUUGGCUUGUGACAGGAAGUUAGGUUCUGCUCUUCUCAGGCUUCACGGUGGCAGUUGACACCAUUGAUGCAUCUCAAUCGUUAAGCGACAGGGAGACAAUAGCUUCGAGUGGGGGAACUUUUGAACUGGGAUUUUUCAGUCCAGGCAGUUCAAGGGGCCGUCACGUGGGAAUUUGGUAGAAGAACAUCCCAGUUAGAACUGUUGUUUGGGUUGCAAAUAGAAGCAAUCCAAUCAAUGACUGUAGUGGCAUGUUGAUGAUAUAACACAGAUGAUAUAGUCCUACGCCACAACAACAGUGUCGUUUGGUCCGUGAACACUGCUGGAUGGGCCGAGAAUCCAGUUUUACAGCUCUUAGAUUAUGGAAAUCUUGUGCUGAGAGAUGACAAGAAUGACAGUUUGGAUACCCAUUUGUGGCAAAGCUUGGACUACCCAACCGACACUUUUUUGCCGGAAAUGAAGCUUGGAUGUGACUUAAAGACCAGUCUCGAUUGGCAGUUAUCUUCCUGGAAGAGCCCAGAUGACCUGUCACCGGGAGAUUUCACUUGGGGGAUGGCCAACAGUAAUUUCCCUGACGUUGUAAAAUGGAAGGGCUCCGACACGUACUUUAGGAGCGGACCAUGGAAUGGCCUUCGUUUCAGCAGCACACUGCAGCAAGGGUCCAAUUCCAUUUUCUGGUAUAAUUUUGUAUCUGAUGGAUACGAAAUUUACUAUAUGUAUCAUGUCACCAACAAAUCUGUGCUUGUGAGGAGCAUCUUUGAUCAAACGAACUACUUGUGGGAGCGGUCCACAGGGAGCAAAGCGACUCAAAGCUGGAGGCUCUUCCUAACAGUUCCUAACAGUUCUGAAGGACUGCUGCGACACCUAUGGCAUUUGCAGUACCCACAGCAAAUGCAUGACUAACCAGCUGCCAUAUUGCCAAUGCUUAAAAGGAUUCACACCUAAAAACCCGGAUGAAUGGAACUCCACUGAUUGGUUGCAAGGAUGUGUUUGGAACGAGCCUCUGAACUGCAGCACCAGCGAUGGAUUCAUGAAAUAUUCUAACAUGAAAUUGCCGGAUACUACUCAUUGUUUAGUGGAUAGUAUCUUGAGCCUCGAAGAUUGCAGGACCAAAUGCUUGAACAACUGUUCAUGUGCAGCAUAUGCAAACUCAGAUAUCAGAGGACGAGGAAGCAGAUGUGCAAUGUGGUUCGGUGAUCUGAUAGGUAUGAGACAGUAUCCAGAUGAUGGACAGUUUCUGUAUGUGCGAAUGCCAGCUUCUGAAAUAGGUACUAUCUUGUUUUGGCAUCUCUGAAAAAGGUAGGUCUUGCACUAGAUUUCCUUUUCACCUAUCAUUCUUUUUCCUUUCAAAUGUGAGCACAAACCUUUCCAUAGUUACCCAUUAUAUCUGGCAUUUAUAUGUUUUUAAUGCUGACUUUUCAAUUGAGCAGGGAAGAGUAAGUCCAAGGUGUGGAUAGCUCUGGUAGUUGUAUUAGCAAUUGCCAUAGCUAUUGCCAUGCUAGUCGCCAUCUGUUACGCCCGCAGAAGAAGGAAAAACUUCGGCAGUACAUAUUUCCUUUCAUGACUUUCCUCACAAUACUAUGUUUUCAUGCAAAAGAGAAUAUUUGUGGUCUAAGAAAAGAGAGAGAAUAUCGAAAAUUAUUACUCUUGAUUUGAUAACUGAAAAUUUGGCAUAGUCAGAGAGUUGCAUAGUCAGAAAAUUAUUAGAAGUGGGACUUACUACACAUGCUUCCCUGCCUUCUUUUUGCUUGAGCUAAGUACCUCCGAUUUUCCACAUCAGAGAUAGCAGAAGAUAUAUCUGAAGGUCAAGAGAGUAAACACCCUGAUGAUGACUUGGAGCUCCCAUUAUUCGACCUACACUCAAUUGUUGAGUCCACAAAUAAUUUUUCGAUGAGGAACAACCUAGGUGAAGGCGGUUUUGGACCUGCAAGAUAAAACAAAAUUUGGAGUGGACUAUCCGAAACAUAGCACAAAGAUCCGGCCAUCAGAAUUGAAUCUUCCCAUUGUUGUUUUUAUCCAGGGUAUACUUUUAGAUGGAGAGAAAUCGCUGGGAAGAGACUCUCAAGGAGCUCUAGGCAAGGACUGAGGGAGUUCAAGAAUGAGGUCCUACUAAUUGCAAAUCUUCAGCACCGAAAUCUUGUAAAGCUUCUUGGUUGUUGCAUUCAGGGAGACGAAAAGAUGCUGAUCUACGAAUUCAUGCCCAACAAAAGCUUGGAUGCCUUUAUUUUUGGUAACCUAGUUGAUGUAUUUCUAGUUAAUUUUAAAAUGUAGCCAUUGCCUGUAAAGAAAAAAAUAUCACGAGACAUGGGACUGACUUGACUAAAACCUGACGGAUAAAGAGAAAAGUAAGUUAUUGGAUUGGCACAAGCGGUUCAAUGUCCUCUGCGGUGUUGCUAGGGGCCUACUCUAUCUCCAUCAGGUUGAGGAUAAUCCACCAGGACCUCAAAGCGAGUAAUGUCCUACUUGACAACGAGAUGAAUCCAAAAAUUUCAGAUUUGGGAGGCUAGGAUAUUUGGAGGGGAUGAGAUGGAAGGAAAUACCAACAGAGUGGUUGGGACAUAGUAAGUAUCUUACAGUUAUCUUACAGUAUGGUCUGCAUAGAGUGAAAAAGGGUGGUUCUGAUUCCAUUUUAAUGCAUGUUGUAAUAUUUUCUUUUGUUCUUCAGUGACUACAUGGCACCUGAAUAUGCUAUUGAUGGGCUAUUUUCAGCAAAAUCGGAUGUGUUUAGCUUCGGUAUUUUGGUCCUCAAAACUGUGUUUGGAAAAAGGAACAGGGGAUUAUAUCAUUCGAAUCAGUCUAGUCGGCCAUGUGAGUAAUUUGUUUUAUAUAAUUUUUUGUAAUCUUAAGUAGCUUUAUGGUCCAAUGAAGUUCGUGCAAUUUUUCAUUUUGUAGGCAUGGAAGUUGUCCGAAGCUGGCAAGUCUUCCGAACUGAUCGAUUCAUGCUUGGUGGACAACAUCCAAUAUAUCUCAAGUGUUACGAUGUGUUCAUAUUGGUCUCCUAUGUCUGCAAGAACAUCCUGAGGAUAGGCCUAGCAUGUCGUCGAUUGUGACAAUGUUGAGCAGUGACAACGCAUUGGCUGUGCCUCAACAACCAGGUUUCCUCGUGGAGAGUAAUCCGCACAGAGGAAAUUCCUCGUCUAGCGUUGGACUCGUCUAUAGUCAAUGAAAUGACUUUUACACUUCUAGAGGCCCGAUGAGAAGACAGGAACUUGCCACAGUUUUGCAUUAUUCUGUACUUGUUUAGUUCAUUAAUAUACAUCAUGGAUUUUUAGAAUUCAUGUUAUCAGUUGAGCCUGUGUAGCUGUAAAUGGUUUGUUAGCAUUGAAUGUCUUAAUAAUCUGUCUUCAUCUCAUGAGCAUAUCUCUAAUCGGCUCGUAUUGUGUUCCCUAGCUGAAACAGACCUCAUUUACAUUGACCUCCUGAUUGUUAACAUCUUGGUGGAGACCCUGGUGAUAGACUCGCCAAUCUCAGAAGCUAAUCUCAGAUCUUCAGGUCGUGGUUGGUACAAAGUAGCUAAAACUCAAACUGAUUAUUCCUUAUUAAGUCUCAAAAGGGGAUAAGAACGCUUCAAGUGCCAAAAGUUGGCACAAAGGGACACUUAAGUGCCAAAAGUUAUGAAAGUGACACUUAAGUGCCACUUUGUAAGAAAAGUGGGACACCUGAGUGCCACCUCCGACGAAGGCAGCCGGAAAUCAUACGUGGCAAUUAAAUAAGAUUAUUUCUCGUCGAGGUGGCUCGCCGGAGAGCUGAGUCAGCUCUAAUUCACCAAAAACGACGUCGUCUCCUCAGGUUGGCCAAAAUGGAGCCCUUAAAUCAACCAAAACGACAUCGUCUCCCCCAUUGCCCCAAAUCUAAAACCCUAAAUCCAGCAAAUUGCCAUUGAAGCGUUGGAGCCCUAAUCCCGAACCCUAACUCGAUUUGCCCCAAAUUCUACGGUUGGAUAUUAAGAAUGGAGAGCAGGACUUUCAGCAGCGACUCAAAUUUCUCUCGCCAAAGCGAAGGAGAAGGCGAGCGUUUCUGUUUUUGUGGGUUACCAAGUCCAAGAAGAACAUCGUGGACGCGAAGGAAUCCUGUGAGAAGAUUCUAUGGAUGUGCCCGAUACAGAGAAGGGUCGAAGUGCAAAUAUUUCGAAUGGGUUGAUGCGAAAUUCUCUCACCGAGCCACAGAGGUGAUAUUGGACCUACUUGAUGGAUGUCAUCAACCUCCAUCUACACCUGUGGACGAUUUGGACGAGGUUGACUCAAUGCAAGCUCAAGCAUCUUCUGCUAACCAUUUGAAGAAUGAAGUUUCAAAGAUGAAUAUUGAACGAAAGUGUUACCGAGCAUUUAUUGUGUUGCUGUUUUUUUGUCUAUCCUAUUUUAUGAUGAAAUGUAAAGUAUUGGAAAAUGAAAAAAAGUUUCUCCGACUGCCAUAGUUGUAAAUGAGGUCAAGGAAAGGGAAUGAAUGAAUGAAUGAGAUGCUGUUUGAAUGAAUGAGAUGCUAUUUGUACUAUAUUUUUGCUUAUUCUCGAAUAUAAAUCGGUGAUGAUGGAAUGUAUAUUGGGUGGAUGUGUUGUGGUGACUUCUUUUCUUCAACUGAAUGUAAACCAGUAGCAAUGAAUCGAAUGGAGUUGGCAUAAGUUGAACAUUCGUAUAUAUAAACCAGCAGCUUCUUUGGUUUGCUGCAAAUCAUCAUUUACAUAGGACAAACAUGAGUGAUUACUCGAGUGCUAUAAGUUGUAUAUAGUGAUCACUUAAGUGCCAGUCGUGAUUAAAAAAAAGUCAUUUAAGUGUCAAGUUAGUAUCAAAAGUGAUCACUUAAGUGCCAUUUGUGAUUAAAAGUGAACACUUAAGUGCCAUUUGUGAUUAAAAGUGAACACUUAAGUGCCGAGUUUUUUAGAAUGUGAUCAGUUAAGUGUCAAUUUUAUUUGUACGUUUCAUCUAUAAACUGCACCAGCCAUCAGCUGCUAUCAGCCACCACGACCGCCCACCACUGGCCACCAUCGGCCUCUAGCCAUCACCACCAGCCACAUCAAGCAUUCCAGGCAUCCACUUGAGCCAUUACUAUGCUGCUGGUAUUCUGCAGUGCAGAAGUUCCUAGUGCCUUACAUCAGCUUGCACCAACACUACCUGGAGCAAGAUGUGUGCAAGAUGUGCAUAUUGCACACUUACAUCUUGCACCAAGUGCAGCACAAACCCCCAACCCCCAACCCCUAUAAUAGACCCACCAGCCUAUCAGUAGGCAUCGGCACCAACAUCUUAGCUACCACACCAGCACGUAGCCACCACCAUAAACCCACCAUUAACAGCCACUGUUGGUGGUGGGUCGUGGGUUUGUUGCAAAAGGGGUUCAUGCAAACUAUACUAGUUACAGCAAAAGGCCCCAACCCAAUCCACAUAGCGGACCCACCACCAUCAAGUUUCACCAACCGCCACCACCAGCCACACAAGCACCCCAGUCACCACCACAGAUCCACCACCAGAAGCAGAAAGCAAUAAGUAAAAGUAAAAACAAAAUACAAAAAAUGAAAAAGGCACCAAAGAUGACAAGCAACAAAAUCAUUUCAUUGAUAUUGAAAUGAAGUCUCACAAAGUCGAUGACAAACUAUUUAAAAGAAAACAUCCACAGUAAAACAAUUGACUCGUCAGCCCCACAAACCAUAUCCCAUCCCAUUUCAUUAAUCAAUAUGCACAAUGCCUCCUGUUCGUGCUCCUUUCACUUGAUUCAUAAUCCUUGUGCUUUUUCUAACUGGACGUGAGGUUUCUUCUUCAACUGUCUCAGGAUGCGUUGAUUCUGAUGGAGGUGCAAUUGUCCUAGGCUGAGCUGAUUGAGAAGGAGCUGGAGCUGCAACUGUCGUAGGCCGAACUGAUUCAGAUGGACCUGUAACUAGGUUUUUCUUACUCUUCUUUCUUGUUGGCGCAACCAAUGUCUUCUUCUUUUUUGUUGGUGCAGCCGUUGAUUCUUGAGUUUGGCCUUGAGAGAUAAGAACCUCUGAACUUCUCCCAGGCUUCAAAAAGAAAACUCAAUUAUUAACAAAAUUUUGCACCAUAAAUUAAAUUAAAUACAGCCUAGUAAGCUUAUAAAACUUACAUUAAGAAUAACUGUUCCAGAACGCUCAUCUGUAUAAAGCCCAUAACCAUACUGUUUUAGCCUCUUUCCAAGAGCUCCUCUUGUUCGAAGGGGAACGUCAGUUUCAGGUACUUGUGAUUGAUUAGCCCUUCUUCUCGCAUGUGAUUUCUUGGGCUCUUAUUGUGGCUGUUUAGCUACAGCAGGGGCUUCUUCUGGGCAUUCGAAUGUUAGACGUCUUGUAGAUGGCCUUCUUGUAGGUGGCUCAUGAUUUGGCUUUCUUUUGGUUGUUUUUCUAUUUAGCCCUUCAGCUUCAAUGACACCUUCUGUUGGCUUUUGUGGUGGCCCUUGUGAUGACCCUUUUAGUGGCCUUUGUGGUGACCUUGGUGAUGGAUCUUGUGGUGACCUUUCAGUUGGGCCCUUUGUUGACAGCUGAGCUCUAGCUUGCCUUCUUCGAACCUGAGAAAAAGACAAAUGAUAUCAUAAAUAUAAACAUCAGGCCAUUGUAAAGGAAAACUAAACACAAAUUAUUUAAGUUACCGGGUAUUUUUUUCUCUGCUUCUGCUGAAGAACAGUCGACUUAACUGGCCCUCCAGUUGCUUCGGCCAAUCCUUGAGCUGGCUGUCUACCUGGCCUUGUUUGAACAGACCCUUCAGUUUCAGGUAUAGCAGGGGCUUCGACCAAUUAUUCACGUGUCAUUCUCCUGACCUGACAAAGACAAAAACAUUAUGUCAAUUAGUUGUACAUAUCNNNNNNNNNNNNNNNNNNNNNNNNNNNNNNNNNNNNNNNNNNNNNNNNNNNNNNNNNNNNNNNNNNNNNNNNNNNNNNNNNNNNNNNNNNNNNNNNNNNNNNNNNNNNNNNNNNNNNNNNNNNNNNNNNNNNNNNNNNNNNNNNNNNNNNNNNNNNNNNNNNNNNNNNNNNNNNNNNNNNNNNNNNNNNNNNNNNNNNNNNNNNNNNNNNNNNNNNNNNNNNNNNNNNNNNNNNNNNNNNNNNNNNNNNNNNNNNNNNNNNNNNNNNNNNNNNNNNUCGUUUUCGCUUUGGUCUUCCCAUUCUCUUCUUUAAUGGCAAAGGUUGAGGUGCUUCAUGAUCUGUUGGCUCCCAGAACUUGGCACCUCUGAUUGGCUGCAACAUGCAUUGGUACGAAGCAAGAUAUCUCGGUUUCUUGUACCAAUCAUCAAGGUAGUCUUCUGUGUUGUGGCCCUUCAAUUGAAUGGCACAUAUGGCAUGUGCACAAGGAAUUCCACUUACUUGCCAUGCUCCACAUGAACACUUCCUCGUACCUAAAUGGACAACAUACUUAUCAGAGCCCUUCAUUAUCUCAUAUCCUUCAUCCCCAUUCCAAAUGGGAUGACAAUACCUACUCGUAGCCAAGUUCUCAUCCAAUUUUUUAGCAAUCCUAGGACCACAUUGCCUAGUCCAGUUUGCAGCCUCAUCCCUUUGUUUGUGCAACCGAGUCAUAACCAUAACCCUUAUGUCUUCAAGCAUCAAGAUAAUUGGUUUGCAUCUGGCAUCUAUUAUUCUUCCAUUGAAUGAUUCGCAGAUGUUGUUAUUUAUGUUAUUGCACUUGAAUUCCUCACUGAAGAACGCCCUACACCAAUACUUUGGUUCUGUUUGGAAUAGUGCAUCAUAACAUUCCCUUGUCAAUUGAAGCAGUUCUUCUUUGGCCAUCCUAAAAUCAGCCAUAUUCGUGCUCUUUGCUAGCUGCCAAAAUUUGAACUGCAGCUUAUCCCCUUUAUAGUUCUUUCCCCAAUUUGCAUAUAUGUGCCGCGCACACAUUCGAUGCUCGGCAUAAGGCAACAACUCAGCUAUAGCUGGAACCAGUCCCUGCAAUAAUUCAAAAAAAGAAAAGAAAUGUAAGCAAACGACAUGUUCAUAUCAACAAGCAAACAAUUGACCAAAUCUUUCAAAGAGUACCUUCUGUUGGUCACUCAUGAACGCCCACCCUGCACCAUUUGUUAUCUCCAAAUCAGCCAUCAAAUUUUUUAGGAACCAGGACCAAUUGUCCUUGUUCUCUACCUUUACAACAGCCCAAGCCAGUGGAAACAUCUGGUUGUUUGCAUCUAUUCCAAUUGCAGCCAACAAUUCUCCCUUGCACAAGCCCUUCAAAAAACACCCGUCCAAUCCUAUAAUCCGUCUACAACCAGAUAAAAAUCCUCGUUUGCAUGCAUCGAAGCAAACAUAGAACUUAUCAAACUUGGUCCCAAUAUCAGGAAGUGGUUGAGAUAGCUAGUGUAAGCACCUAGAGGGGGGUGAAUAGGUGCACAAACAAUUUAUCGAGAUACGUAAGCGAUUCUUGGCAAAUGAUAGAAAUGAAGUUUACUAUGAUUAACGAAAAUGAAGUACGAUCAAAGUAAAGAGAGUAAGGAAGAGAAAAUUGAACACAUGGUUUAUAGUGGUUCGGCUUAUUCCAAGCCUACGUCCACUCUUCCGCACUGACAGCCCACCGGCUGGAUUUCACUAUGAUCAAAAGAGAAGUUACAGCACAGCUUUGCCUUGAUUCCACAGUGUAGAUGUUCUACCACACCUCCUCAAGGUUUCUCACAAAUAUAGACUCUCUUUUGUAUACAAGUAUUCGCUCAAAGUGAUUGUCUAAACAAAAAGGAGCUUCAGACUUUGGAAUUCUUCUAUCGCGCACACCUUGAACAACUAAGACCGUCUUCCUUAUAUACUCCUUUAUGCCAUCAUACCCGUUGGCACUUACCAAAGGAAUUCCUCUAAUCUACCCAUUGGACGGAAUCAAUUAGGAAGAUUGUUCGAGCUAUUAAAGGAACGUGUCGAUAGCCCAUUAAUCCUGUUCGCCCAUACAAUCAGGAUCUCGGUUUCCAUAAGUAGAACCUUCCAAGAAUAUUUAGGCAAUCAUCGAAUCUUCAAUCAUCGAAUCAAUCUCGAUCAAUCAAAGGAUUUUGUUACGUCUUUUCCAGCCACGAGAUCUUCUCCAGUUGAUAAGGUUAAAUCCUUGACGAAACAUCCAGUUCUGGAUAACCUUUCUUCAACGGAUUAGAGAUUGUCAAUGAGGAUAGACUUUGAGUCUUGAGUCUGGCUGUCCGGAGGUCUUCAGACUUUAAAUAGCAGAGUCUGCAAGCCUUCAGACUAGACUGAUGGAAACGUUUUGUCAGCUUCAAAACACUUCAAGAAGAUUUCUCCAACAAUCUCCCCCUUUUUGAUGGUGAUAAAACUUUCCUGCAGAUUUGGAUAACUUUGACCUGCAAAACAUUUAUCAAACACAUAUGCAUAUCUUAUAGAGAUAAAUGGCUAAAUGAAUAACAAUAGAAUCUGCAACCACAGAAAAUAGGUUAGCAGAAAAUAGGUUAGAUUAGUAUACGAUAAAGCCAUCCAUAAGAUAUCAAUAGUAGUUAAUAAAAGCAGUCAAGUCCAAGUCUAGUUCAGUUCUCAUCCAGACACAAAGUCAAAGUCAAACAAAACAAUCCAACAAACAGUCCACACGAUUAAAAGUUUAACGAUUGAAUGUUUGAAAGUUUGAUCAAAUCUUGCAUCUCUCCCCCUUUUUGUCAGCAUUAAAAAGGUUGAGAUGAAGUCAAGAUUGCUUGGGAAUGCGGACAAGCUGGAAAUCUUCCAUAGACUGAACGAUGCCUUCCAGCCUUUUCAAGUCUUCCUUCAGUUGUGCAAUCUCCUCACCCUUGGCAUUGGCCUGAAUCUGAACAGAGAGGGCUUGGAUCUUAUCAUUCAAUGAACAUGAAGAAACUUGACCCGCAUUCUGCAAGUUUUGAACCUCGCAUCCCAAGGCAUAAAUUUGACCUCGCAUCUCCAAGAGAAUAUCUAUGAUUCUGUGAAAAUCUGCUGUAUUAUCAAUCUGAGUACUUGCUUCGGCCCGAUCUGAUGGAGUAAAUGCAGAUGAUGGUAGAUCAGCAUAAUCUCGCAGGUUUGGCGAUGAAACUUCAUGACCUUCUUCUGGAAACUGAGAGGCAUAAACAUCUUCUGGGUUUGCAGGUGAGCGACUGACUCCUUCACUUGCAUCAGGAUAUGAAGACUUCCCUCCUUUCUCUUGAUCUCCCCCUGUUUUCAUGCCUACAGGUGGAGAAGAGAGUUCCUCAGGUUCUCCUUCUUCUCUUCUUUCUUCUUCAGGUCUUUCCUCCUCUGCUUCUUUUUCAGCUUCUCUUUCUUCUUCUUCCUUCUCCUCUGCAUCCUUCUCCUCUGCUUCUUUUGUCAUUUGUUCCGAUUCUUUCUGUGGAACAGGACGACUUAAAUUCUUCAAAGCCAUUGCAGAGAUGGUGAUGUCUUCCUCAUCAUCUUCAUCCUCAACGAGGAGAGCUCUUCUUCUCUUGGAUGGAGCAACCAUGGGCUCCUUCCCUUUUCUUUUAGCUGCAGAAGAGAUUUGAUGAGUUUUGGCAGGAGUCUUCUCCUUGAAUUUUUCCAACUCCUUUCUCAAUUCCUUCAGACGCAUUUUGGUCACCAUUUUCAGUCCUACCACCAUAUGAUCACAUGGUCGAACACAAAAGAUUUGCGGAGGCUGAAUAUUCAGAUGUCUGAAUAACUUCGUAACAAGGCUUGGGUAAGGGAGUUGACUUCUGUCCUUCAUCAUUGCUCUAUACAUGUGAAACAUAACAGUGUGAGGGAGAGAAAACUUUUUCCCAAAGAGGAUGGCAUACAUCAGCUUUGCCUCUGAACUUGAAACAUCAGUUUUGGAAGUUGAUUUCGGUCGGAGGCAAUUAAUCACAAUCUUGUGAAGUAAGAUAUUGAAUGCACUCAUCCUUAAGUAGGUGAUCUUCUCAUCUGUUCUCCUGUCCUUCACCAGUUCCAGUGUGGCUCGAGCAAUGGAAACUUUAAUUGGCUGAUAUCUUCCUCUUUCAACUCCUAACGCAUCUGCCAGCAUAUUCAUAUCCACAACAUAGUCUUGGUCUUUAACGCUGAAAGAGAAUCUAUUCGCAUCCAAAAAGUUAAGAUUUGAAUAGAAAUAUGCAGUUAAUCCAGCAUAGGCCUCGGUAGUGUCAGAGCAGAACUUUUCAAGUUGAAGAUAAUUGAACUUUUCCCUCAAGUUCACAUUCACAGCAUCCAGAAAAUCAAAAUCCACACUCCUAGGGUUUAUUACCCCACGCUUCAGCAAUUUCGAGUACAGAUCCUUUUGUUCCUUCGAUCUGAACAAAUCUCCCAUUUUUCCUUGAUUUUCAACCGCAAUACCCAUUUUCGGUUGAAAUAGGCUGUACAAAUUGUCAUCAUCAUUCCCAUCUACAGGAUUCGGCCCUCAGUCACGAGGAUCACUUGGGAUAUUCGCAAGGGUUUCCUCAGCCACCCCUUUACGAGCAAUUCCCAAACUUUCCAUUUUUCGCAGAAAGAUAUAUUUGUUAUUAUAUCCUUUGUCUUUAAGAAAAUCAUCAACAUAGUUCAAAGGAGUACGAGUUCCUUUUAAGGCACGAUAUAGCUUGUAAAUAUAAGCGGGCUUUUGAACUCUUACAGGGUCUGCAUCCUCGAUGAUUUCUUCCUGUUGUUGAUGAUCAACGGUUUGAGGACUAGAUGGAGGAGAAUGACGCUGCUGAGAAUGUUGUGGGCUCGGUUGCUGUUCUGGAGACACUUCUUCCUCAGUAAGAUCGAAGUGCGUAGGCCCCUCACUCAUUCGCCGUGGUCCCCUGCUUGCGAUUCUAGAAGACUUUCUUGAAGAUGACAUCUUUCUCAGUUUUUGGAAGAUUCCUUGCUUGACUUUCCCAAGAAAGAUGACAACUUUUUGAAGAUUAAACAAAGAAGACAAACGAGAAUGGAGGAUCGAUGCUUUCUAGGGUUUUUGAGAGUAAAGUGAAGAGGAAUCAACAGUGCACGAUCGGUUAAAAAGAGAGAUAAAUGAAUCGUCACAAAGGAAGGUAAAAAGAUGCCUUUUUGAAAUAACUGUCUUUUUCCGUGAAAAUAGUCAUUUUAAAAAUAACUUCUUUUUGGAAAAUGAAAUGAUGCAAUAAUUACGUCGAUUAAAGAUAGCAAUAAAACACGGUUACCAAUCGUACCUUUUCAAGAUAAGAUUCGAGAGAGAGAGAGAGAAAGACUAACUUACAGUCUGACGGUCGUACCAAGACUAACUUACAGUUAAAGUCUUGUAUGUCUGAGUCUGAAAGUCUUUAGACUUUGAUUUCCUCAUACCUCAAAAUGUUGAGUCUGGAACGGAUGGUUUCGAACUGAUUUUUCUCCAACGGCUUUGUGAAUAUAUCCGCCAGUUGGUUCUUUGAGUCAACAAAUUGAAUUGAAACAUCUCCAUUUUGAACAUGGUCUCUAAGUGAUGUCGAAUCUCUUUAUGCUUCGCUCUUGAGUGUAGAAUUGGAUUUUUGGUGAGAUUGAUAGCGCUGGUGUUGUCGCAAUUAAUCUCCGUGCAUGAGUCUUCAAUUCCAAAGUCUCUUAGCUGUUGUUUCAUCCACAGAAUUUGCGAACAACAACUUCCGAGAGCUACAUACUCUGCUUCUGCUGUAGAGAGAGCUACUGUGCUUUGCUUUCUUGAAAACCAAGACACUGUCCUGCCUCCAAAUAGUUGACAAGUACCCGAGGUGCUCUUUCUAUCGACUUUGCAUCCAGCAAGGUCUGCGUCUGAAUAUCCAAGAAGAGUAAAGUCUCCCCUUUUUGGAUACCAGAGACCAAAGCUUGAAGUUGAUGAGAUAUAUUUGAUAAUACGCUUUGCUGCAUUUAAAUGAGAUUCUUUUGGGUCUGAUUGAAAUCUGGCACAGAUGCAAACACUAAACAAAAUGUUAGGUCUAGAAGCAGUAAGAUAAAGAAGAGAUCCGAUGAUACUCCUGUACAGCUUUUGAUCAACUUUCUUCCCUUCUUCAUCUUAGUCUAUCUUCAAGGAACUUGACAUUGGUAUGUCAGCCUUUUUGCAAUUGUCCAGACCAAACUUUUUGAUAAGAUCAUUUGCAUACUUUUCUUGAUGAAUAAAAGUUCUUUCCUCCAAUUGUUUUAUUUGAAGUCCAAGAAAGAAGGUUAACUCACCCAUCAUGCUCAUUUCAAAUUCUUCCUGCAUAAUCUUAGAAAAUUUCUUGCACAGACUUUCAUUAGAGGAUCCAAAGAUAAUAUCAUCGACAUAUAUUUGAACAAGCAGAAAACUUUUGCUUUCGCUUUUAAUAAAAAGAGUAGUGUCCACUUUACCUUUAACAAAUCCAUUUUGAAUUAAAAACUUACUUAAUCUGUCAUACCAAGCUCGAGGUGCUUGCUUUAAGCCAUAUAAGGCCUUUUUGAGUCUGAAUAUUGAGUCUGGUUUCCUUGGGUCUUCAAACCCUGGUGGUUGUUCCACAUAGACUUCCUCAUGGAUGAAUCCAUUUAGGAAAGCACUUUUGACGUCCAUUUGAAAUAACCUGAAAUUUUUAUGACAAGCAAAUGCAAGUAAUAAACGAAUUGCUUCUAACCUUGCUACCGGUGCAUAAGUCUCGUCAUAGUCGAUCCCUUCUUCUUGUGUGUAUCAUUUGGCCACGAGUCUUACUUUGUUUCUUACGACUUUACCUUUCUCGUCCAUCUUGUUUCUGAAAACCCAUUUAGCUCCAAUAAUUGAUUUUCCUUUCGGUUUUGGAGUUAAUUCCUAGACAUCAUUAAUUUUGAAUUGUCUGAGUUCUUCUUGCAUAGCUUCAAUCCAGCUUUCAUCGGAUAAAGCUUCUUCUAUGCUCUUGGGUUCUAUUUUAGAAAUAAGAGCCACGGCACUAGACUCUUUUCGCAUUUUGGAUCUUGUGCGUAUUCCUUCAUUGAUGUCGCCAAUAAUAAGAUCUUUGGGAUGACUGGACUUAUGUUUCCAGUUGCUGAUUAAUUGAUGAUCACUUCCUUCACUUGAAUCUUCAACAGUUACUUGUUGCUGAUCCUUCAAAAUCUGAGCUGCUUCUUGAUAUUUAGACUUUGUUGAGUCUGGAGCAGAUUCAGUCUCUUCAAGAUGAGUCUGAAUGGAUUCAUUUUGAAUGGAAUCUUGGAAUUUGACAUUCAUUGAUUCUUCCACAGUUUGAGUCUUCUUGUUGUAGACUCUGUACGCUUUACUUGUAGUUGAAUAUCCAAGGAAGAUGCCUUCAUCUGACUUUUCUUCAAACUUACCAACUCGAUCAUUUGCAUUUUUCAAUAUGAAACAUUUGCAUCCGAAAACAUGAAAAUAUGAAACAAUUGGCUUCUUUUCUUUAAAUAGUUCAUAAGGGGUUUUUUCUAGAAUAGGCUUUAGAAAGACUCUAUUGAUAAUAUAACAUGAUGCUGAAACUGCUUCAGCCCAAAAUCGUAAAGAGAUAUUGCUUUCAUUUAAAAGAGUUCUAGCCAUUUCUUGAAGAGAUCUAUUCUUCCUUUCCACGACUCCGUUUUGCUCUGGAGUAUAUGGAGAGGAGAACAAAUGUUGAAAACCAGAUUCAUCACAAAAUUUUGCAAAGUCUUGAUUUUCAAAUUCACCUCCAUGGUCUGUUUUUAUACUUGAAAUGACAUACCCUUUUUCAUUUUGAACCUUCUUAGCAAAUUUUUCAAAGUAAGAGAAAGUUUCAGACUUACUUGCCAAGAAAUAUACCCAAGUAAAUCGUGAGUAGUCAUCCACAAUUACUAGGCAAUAUUUCUUACUUCCAAUGCUCUGCGUUCUUGUUGGUUCGAAGAGAUCCAUAUGCAAGAGCUGCAGUACACGGUUAGUGGAAACUUGAUUUAUUGGUUUAAAGGAAUUUCUUACCUGUUUUCCCAAUAUACAUGGUGUACAUAGAUCGGACUUUUGAUAUGAUAAAUUGGGUAGACCACGAACAAGCUUCUUUGCUGAGAUUUUGGCUAUUUGCUUCAUGUUGAUAUGCCCAAGCUUUUUGUGCCAUAAGUUCGCUUCGUCUUGGAUUGAGAUUAGACAUUGCGAUUCAUCUGGUUUCACGUCCAAGAGGUAGAUAUUCCCAUGUCUUCGACCCAUGAAUGACUGAGUAGAGUCUUUACUGGUUCCUGAACAAAUACCUUCUUGAAAGUUGAUUCUAAAACCGGCAUCACAAAGCUGACUGAUACUGAGCAGAUUGUAAUUGAGCCAUUCAACUAAAGAAACAUUGCUUAUUGUGAGGUUCCCAAUCUUUACAGUUCCAACUCCCACUAUUUUUCCUUUGCUGUUUCCUCCAAAUGAGACUUUUCCACCAUUCACUUGAAUGAGCUUUAUGAAGUAAUUUGAAUCUCCUAUCAUGUGUCUGAGCAUCCACUAUCCAGAUACCAUUUCACUUUUUUCUUGAUAGUGAUCUGCAUUCAAAAAGAAACUCAAGCUUUCUUUGGUACCCAUAUUUUCUUGGGUCCUUUUGAGUUAGUCUGAUAUACAGUUUUUGCCCAGACUUUAUUGACAGGUCUCCAAACCAUAGGACAUUCUUUCUCAAAAUGAUCUGCACUAUUGCAUUUUGAACAUCUAAGAGCAUUGCGAUCUACUGGUUUUACAAAGUUCAUUUCAAAAUGAUUUUUGUAAGCGUUUCUUGUGGGUCUUUGUUUGAUUCUUUCUUUUACUUUAGGAAAAUCGAUUAAAGGAAUGGUUUCAGCAGUCAUUCCCAAUCCAGAUUUAUUGAAAUAAGGUCUUUGAGCAGAAAGUAUUUUCUCCAGUUUUUCAGAACCUAAAGAAAAUCUUUUGGAAAUAUUUGAAAUAUCAUUUUUCAAGAAUGCAUUUUCUUUUAAAAGAUUAUUUUCACUUUCUUUGAGAGAAGAAACAUUCUGGUCUAAGCAUUUCACUUUUUCCUCCAAAGCAUUCUCUUGUUGUUUUAAAGCAGAAUUUUCUUUUUUGAGUUCGGAAAUUCUUUUAAGAGAAGUCUUAAGACUAAAACAUAAUUCAUCAAUGUAUUUUGAAACUUUAAUAGGGAUUUUAAAGUUACUUACCUCGAAUUCACUUUCUGAAUCUGAAUCAGUCUCGGAGUUUGAUUCUGAAUCCGAUUGUGCCAUUAGACAUAUGUUGGCAUAAUCAUCAUCACUAUCUUCGCACUCUGUAUCACUCCAGGUUUCAGCUUUGACAGCUUUUCGAUAUCUUUCAGUUUUUCCUUUCUUCUUCCUUAGAAGAGGACAGUUGGGUCUGAUGUGUCCCUUUUUCUUACAUUCAAAGCAGACUACAUCUUUGUUUGAUUCUUCAUCUUCAGCAGACUUGGUCUGUUGCUUUUGAAAACUUUGUUUCUUUGCAUUGAAUCUUCUUCCUUUUCUGUUCAGCUUUCUGAAUCUUCUUAUCAUAAGAGCAUGUUCUUCAUCAUCCACGUCGUCUUCAGAAUCUGUUACAUCAGAAUCAUCAUUAGAUUUUAAUGCAAUAGAUUUCUUACCUUUAGGGUCUUCGUCUUCAUUGAUUUGUUCCACUUCAUAGGAUUGAAGAGUCCCAACCAACUUAUCGACAGACAGUGGCAUGAUUCUUUGGGUCUCCCUGAUUGAGGUCUUUAUGUGAUUCCAAUCCUUGGAGAGUCCACGCAGUAACUUGUUUACUUUCAUGGGAUCAGAAAUUGGUUGGCCUUGAUUUUCAAGACCAUUCACGAUAUCUGUAAAAUGACUAAACAUGUCAGUUAUAGAUUCUCCUGGUUUCAUUCUGAAGGCUUCGUAUUGACCGAGAAGAAUGUUGAUUCUUGUCACUUUCACUCGAUCGGUUCCUUCAUAAGUAAUGUGUAAUCUAUCCCAGACUUCUUUGGCUGUAUCACAAGAAGAUAUUCUGUUAUAUUCAGUAGGUGAUAAAGCACAAUAUAAAGAAUAAAUUGCUUUUGCAUCAAGAGCUUGUCUCUUGAUUAUCUCUUCCUGAGUCAUUUCGCUAGACUCAACAGAGUCUUUUCCUCUUUCUGAGACAGGAGCAGCUUUGGGAACGAUUCAUUUUUCUACAACGUCCCAUUCCAGAGGAUCCUUUGAUCUUAAGAACGCCUUCAUCUUGUUUUUCCAUAUGUUGUAGUCCUUUCCAUCAAAAUAAGGUGGUCUGGUGUUGCUUUGCCUUCUACCAGCCCUGGAGCCAACAUACUAGCCAUGGAUCUUUAACUCUGAAGUAAAAUACUUCAAAAAAAGUGAGUACACGAGCUCUGAUACCAAUUGAGAUAGCUAGUAUAAGCACCUAGAGGGGGGUGAAUAGGUGCACAAACAAUUUAUCGAGAUANNNNNNNNNNNNNNNNNNNNNNNNNNNNNNNNNNNNNNNNNNNNNNNNNNNNNNNNNNNNNNNNNNNNNNNNNNNNNNNNNNNNNNNNNNNNNNNNNNNNNNNNNNNNNNNNNNNNNNNNNNNNNNNNNNNNNNNNNNNNNNNNNNNNNNNNNNNNNNNNNNNNNNNNNNNNNNNNNNNNNNNNNNNNNNNNNNNNNNNNNNNNNNNNNNNNNNNNNNNNNNNNNNNNNNNNNNNNNNNNNNNNNNNNNNNGGUUUCUCACAAAUAUACUCUCUUUUGUAUACAAGUAUUCGCUCAAAGUGAUUAUCUAAACAAAAAGGAGAUUCAGACUUUGGAAUUCUUCUAUCGCGCACACCUUGAACAACUAAGACUGUCUUCCUUAUAUACUCCUUUAUGCCAUCAUACCCGUUGGCACUUACCAAAGGAAUUCCUCCAAUCUACCCGUUGGACGGAAUCAAUUAGGAAGAUUGUUCGAGCUAUUAAAGAAACGUGUCGAUAGCCCAUCAAUCCUGUUCACCCAUACAAUCAAGAUCUCGGUUUCCAUAAGUAGAACCUUCCAAGAAUAUUUAGGCAAUCAUCGAAUCUUCAAUCAUCGAAUCAAUCUCGAUCAAUCAAAGGAUUCCAUUACGUCUUUUCCAGCCACGAGAUCUUCUCCAGUUGAUAAGGUUAAAUCCUUGACGAAACAUCCAGUUCUGAAUAACCUUUCUUCAACGGAUUAGAGACUGUCAAUGAGGAUAGACUUUGAGUCUUGAGUCUGGCUGUCCGGAGGUCUUCAGACUUUAAAUAGCAGAGCCUGCAAGCCUUCAAACUAGACUGAUGGAAACGUUUUGUCAGCUUCAAAACACUUCAAGAAGAUUUCUCCAACAGUGGUCUCUCCACAACCUCUACAUACACUCUACUUGAAGGAUUUUGCAGCCUACACUCCCAAGCAUAAUCCCACACCUGUCCAUAUUCGCUGCUGUAUUGAUCAAUGAGUAUCUUCAUCACCUUUUGCUUCGUUCUUUUGCAUUGAUUCUUGCUUAUAUUGAUGCCAACCUGCUCCUUCACCAGCAACCUGAACUGAGUACUAUUCAUCUGAGGCAUCAUCUUAAUCAUAUUAAAGAAGUGCUUGCACAACCAUGCACUUGUUACCCUUUUAUUUUCAAAAUUAAUGGAACAAGUAUGUUCCUCUUCGUACGCUCUAAUCUGGAAAGAUCCACUUCUCCUAACAAAUGCACCAUAGAUCCUCCAUGGACAAUUUUGCUGCGAACACUUAGCUCUUACAAAGGCCUUAGUGUUUCUAAUGAAGUCAAUGUUCCUCUGUGCAGCAAUGGAGUUCUUCAGUAUAGCUUCCCUAAAUUGUUUUGCAUCUUGAAAUUUCAUACCUACCGACAAAGUAGGAGAGGCAACGGAUGGAUCAUAAGAAGGAAACUUACUUUUCCUUCUCCUUGUAUGCACAACUCCUUCAUCUUCUUCAAGCUCAUCCUGGGAAGUAACAUUCUCAAGGCUUUCUUCAUAAUCAGUCUCCUCACCAAUGGCAACAGCAUCUACAGAGCCUUCGGCUUUAUUUGGAACUUCAUCAGCUACCUGCAAAGCUGCAAAUUUAUCUGUCAAAAAAUCCCUUUGCCUUUUUCUUGACUGUACAAGCUCCUCGUCGUCGUUAUCACUUGUGAAAUUUGCAGUAGGCAACCCUUCAUCAUCAUCAUCACUUGAUUCAGCUACUUCCCAAUCUAAUCCAGUGAUUGUGACAUCACCUAUGUCAUCAUCACUAUGGUGAACUGCAUCUGCGCUCCUCUCCUCUCCAUCAUGUCUAUCCUGCCUUUCUUCGACCCUAACCUCAGUACUACCUUGAAUACCAUUUCCUUCUUGUUCUAUUUGGGCACUUUCUUCAUCAUCAUCUUUAUCCUCACUUUCAUUGUACUCAACAUAUAUUUUUACCUCUUCACCAUGAAGAUAAUGGUAUAGAAUAUCCCUAAAGCCGUUAUCGUUUUCUAAGGUUCGCAAACCAUCUCUUAAACCUUUCCCAGGAAUACAAUACAACAACUUCUAAACUUUACAAGGCAAAUAAGUUAGUAUAUCCCUAACAAAUCCUAUAUAAGAUGCCUUCUUAAUGUCGACAAAAAUGGUGCCCUCAUUUCCACCCUCAUACUCCCACUCAUCCUCCCCAAUUACAAAUUCCCCAGCAUAGCAAACUAUGACAGCGACAUAAUCCUUGGCAUGAGCCAUUUCUGCACCAACAACAAGACAAAGAAUAAUUAGUUUUGGGACCACAUCCACAAAGAACAAUAGACAAUCGCACAAGGGAGUCCCCCCACUCUCAUAGACUUUAUUAAACAGGUCCCCACACUGACAAUAUGCCCAUAUAUGACAGCCAAAAAAGAGGUCGACACUUUAAUAAUUUACCUUCCCUUCCUCUACAAUAUUAAUAAAAAACAGAGGCCCCCACACUGAGAAUAUGCCCCUUCAUGACAGCUAAGAGGUCGCCACUUUAAUUAUUUUGCCUUGCCUUCCAUUCCCUUAAAAUAUAAACCAAAAACAGAGGUCCCCACAACAAGCAUAGGUCCCCACAUUUGCUGAACUAAACCUGCGAUGUGAGAAUGUACAUCCACUUAAUCAAAUCUAUUUUUCCUGUGAAACACAUAGAAUUUCAUUAAAGCAAGCUUGAUGUAAAAUUAUAGGGUAAAAGUUCUGUUUCUCAUCCAGCCAAGAGGAGAAAUCAUACCCCUAAUCUAUAAUGUUUGGCCAUUAAUAUAUUGUGUCAAGAGGUCAUUACACAAUCCAAGCCCUAAAUUUAUCCAUUGCACAGUAGACUAAUACUACAUGUCAAAAGAGCUCAUAGUUUAUAAACUUUAAAAUGAGGUACUUACAUGUGGUUUCAAAUUUGUCCCUUGCAGGUAAAUGAACUUAUAUAAAGUAUCAAAACAAAUUUUGCACUCCUCAAUGCCCUGCAUAUAUGUCGACUAUCUGAUUAGAAACAACAAUCAGGAAAGAAGACUAAAAGAACGAAAAGAUCGGAAUCAAAGGAACAAAAGCAGAUUGAUAGCAAAGUUGCGUGCUCUUUGCAGAGCACUUAAAGGCCAUUAUUCCAGCCACCUGAUUCAAUAACUUUUCACUCAAACACAUUAGUUCCUAGUUCCACAUUAGUCAAUAUUUUGUCUCACUCGAGCCUUGACUGCAUAAAUCAUCGACUGAGGCAAGCAUCUCCACACAAGGGAGUAACCAAACAGAGCGCGCACAUUUCAACAGCAUUUCCAUCGUAGCCUUAAUAAAAUAAUCGAGCGAGCCCUAAUAAAAUAAUCGAGCGAGCCCUAAUAAAAUAAUCGAGCCCUAAUUUCAUCACGAGGGAGGGGGAAAAGGGGCCCAACCUAGAGGAGUGACGAUGGUGAGCAGGGAUGACGACCAACGAUGCUGAGUGGCUACGACAACCAACAACGGCGACCGAUGACCACCUAUGGGCGUGAACGGCGACAGAGAGAAGGGCGGCGACGGCGUGAACAGCGAUGGAGAGAAGGGCGGCGACGACUGAGAUCUAAUGUGAACGCAGAUGGGAAGGAACAACGACGGCUAGGUGUGCUUAAGCCAAAAUGACCUAAACGACGUCGUUUAACACCAACGAAAAACGACGUCGUUUAGGUCAGCUCACUCAGUGUGGGUGGACAACGUCGUUUUGUCGUCCACGUGGGUUUUUUUUCUUUAAACGUUUGCCACCUCAGUAAAAGAAGUCGUCGGGAAACGCCACGUAUGCAAUUUGGCCGGAUUUUAGCCGGAUUGGCACUCAAGUGAUCAAUUUUGCUCCGAUUUUGGCACUUAAGUGUACCUUUCGUAACUUUUGGCACUUAAGUGUCCCUUUGUGCCAACUUUUGGCACUCCAGGGGUCCGUGUCCCGUCUCAAAAGGAUCACUAGCUUUGAUUGCCCCUUUUCACCAUUUAUGCCUUCACCUAUAAGUUCCAACCACACCAAUGCAACAAAAUUUAGUGCUUAAGGACUACCAUCACUAGGUUACCUGACUAUCAACUACAAACAGGGAAAUUGCAUGUCUCAGCUGGAAAAUUGCAUCAAUUUAGAAUGUCACCCGAACAAAUGUAUCUUACAUUGAGCAAUAUCAAAGGGAUAUACACAGCAAACAUCCGCAAGGUCAUCACUCUAAAUGAAAACCUUAACUUAUGAUACUCCAGAGAACAUGGCAUGUCCUGUAGGGUCGAGGAGGGCACUCAAGCAACAUUAUAAAGGUGUUCACCAAAGUGUGAGAUAAAUUGAGUGAACUUCAUAUAUAAAAUCGUGGUAUUGAUCUAUGAGCAAUAUAAACUGAGGAAAAGCCAAGGAAGAGUGUCUUAAAGAGGAUGUAAUGCUCCUUGGAACAAAUUCUUCAGCCAUUUCAACACAGAAAUCAGAGAUACUUAAAAGUUCAAACACAGAGGAUAAAAUUUUAACCAAACUUCUUUUUAUACUGCUUAAAAAUGAGCUGCCCUUUACAAGCAUUGAGGGGUUUAUUUCCAGGAGUAUAGACAAUCAGAACCCACGAUCACUUCUUUCUCUUCCUUUUUGUUUGGUCAUUUCUAGUAUGAACAAGAGAAGCAGGAUGAGAGUGAUACACUCAUACUCCACAAAAGGGUCCAGCAGCUUGCAAUGAUAUAUCUGAUAGAGCUUAAUUGCUAACAAAUUCAAAAUUAAUCAACCUGAGGUAGGAAUAGUAAUGGCAAGGAUAAAAACAUCUCAUAACACAAUUUUCAAGAGUAAAUCAAAAUGAUGGGUAAGCCAAACUCCAUGAACACCAGGUGAUCAAUAAACAAGUGGACAAAUUUCAUGUAUCGAAUCCCAUUUUAGGGUAGUCACCAUUCUUCCACUACAAACUGAGGAUUCAAUUGGCUAACAUGUAGCCACAAAAGCACAUUACACAGAAAAUGAGGCAGAUGGUAUACGAAGCAUUAUGUAAAAUGCAGUUCUUGUUACCUAAAAACUUCAAAUUGCAUUUGAUGAAUGCCAAUGUUCAGAGUGGAUAAAUCACAAAAGAACAGAACAAGGGAAGCCACUCUCAAGCAGAGGAACCCUCUUCAAUUUUGGUAUAUUCCAUAUAUAUCCACUGGAUAAAAUUGCAAAUCGUGGUCCCAUCACAUAUGCUCCAGUUCUAGACGAUUCCAUAGAGCCACGUGAGUUAACUUUGGGAAGGAGGAGUGCUCAUGUUGGCUAAUCAAACCUAAUCAAAUUAAAUAGAACGAAUGUAAACAAUCUAAAGACAUUAGAGACUUCUCUGGCCAAUCGAACUUAAUCAAAUAAAACAGAAAGUGAUUUAGUGUGCAAAUAUGCAAUUGGAAAUACGAAGUCCAAGAAAAGUAAGCAUUUAUCUGAAAGACUAAUUUACACUGGUUUAAUUUUGGCUUAAAGUAUAGUGAUUGAUUUAAAAAUCAGAAAGGACUCGACAGUGAAGAUAGAUAGUACUGGAUGAGCUAUAACAGAAAAGGCAAUUAAAAGAAAAGGAAGAAUGGAUUGACAUGCUAUCUAAGCACUCCCAACUAAUAAAGCAUAAGUUAAGAAUUGACCCGAUAUUUUAGCACUUUAAGUGUUAUAAUAAUUUACCUGAAUGCAUAGCCCUUUGAUCUACUUUAUUUGUCAGUGGCCCAUUUGACACGUAUCUAAUUGUUAAAGUAAUGAAACAUUUUUCUUAUUCCAGUUUAAUGAAAUUUAAAAAAAAAAAACAAAUUUUACAUUUCUAGGCUUCAGCAUCUUUCUAACAAGGGUGUCAUAAUCAAUUAUUUUGUAUAUAUGAGAAAUGGAAGACAGAAAAUAUUCCUACACUGAUAGUAACUUUUCUGCAGCCAUUAAUUAUUUGUUAUCUCCUUAUUGUGAUCAUUUUGACCCAAAAAGUGACUGUUUGACGUAUAAGAAUUUGUAUCAGUCUAUCCAAAAUUUUUGUAUUCUUAGAAUGGCUCUUAUAGUAAAGUCGGCGAGAAGACCAUCAUUUAAAUGUACAAAGAGAACCUUGCCCAAAAAAAGGAAAAGCGUGGACUAUUGCCGUUGUUACUCAUUCAAUGUUAAGGGAGUAUUUCUAGUUUCUGAACAACACCGUAACUAUUAAGUUUCAAUAAUCAUAUAACCAUUUUGCUAUACUCUCAAGCUGUAAUAAGUCAUUUAUCAGUGAGUAGUACGGGCAGUUCCUAAGUAGUGAUGUGGUAUACAACUUGGUAUAAAAAUUUUGGGGAAAAAACCGAACUUCUGUACCGCGGGAGAUCAAUCCUUAGAAGGCCCCGUGGGAGAUGGAGAGGAUAACAGAGUAAAAUUUGUAGGUGACUCACCAAGAACAUUCGACCAAGUGUUCUAAUGAAUCACGGGCAAGGGGAUUGUCCCACUCCAGCGACUCCCACGUCUGCUGAUCUAUCUGAAUCUCCCAAAGAGAGGGGGGAGGAGAAGGGAGCCCAUUGUCAAGUAGGGACAGCUGCAGAGGAAUCCUCCUUAGUUUCGGACAAUUGUAUAUAGAAAUCCACCGGAGGGAAUUGCAACCCAUGGUCCCAUCACAUAUGCUCUUCAGUUCCGGAAGAUUCCAUGGACCCAGGUGAAUUAACUUUGGGAAAGAGUGCGUCAUGUUGGCAGUGCCUAUUAUCACCUCUAUGCCCUUGCAGUCUUCGAUUGAUAUCUCUAGGAGGAAAAGGAGGUGAAGCGAUAUGUCUUGCGUCAGCAGCCUCUUCAUGUUGUUGCAUCCGUUUACUUCGAGAUACGUGAGAAAACAAGUGGCACCGCUUGGUAGUGACCCACUAAUUAUCUCCUCUAAUUCAUCACAAUUAUAUACAAUAAUCUCCUCCAGUUUUGAAAAGCAAGUGAUCAUCCACUCCCAUCCCAUCACACUCUUCAAUUUAUGACACCUGGACACUCCCAAUGAUUGCACACUUUCUGGAAUAAGAGCACAGUGAUCACUGCUUGUUCCAUCUAUGCUUGCAAUGAUAUGGUCACAACUAUUGAUGAAUAUACGCCUGUAAGUCUGAGACUCGCAGUGAUACGGUGCAUCCAUCACAAGCUUGUAUUGUUGGGAACUAUUUUGCUCAAGAAACCUCAUGCAUGCAUUGAAUGUUUCCACGUCGGGAACAGAACAAUCAAGUGCUUCCAACUUCUUUAAUUUUGCUACUUCUCCUGCCCUCACCUUUUUAAUCAUAAGGUAUUGCAAAUUCACCAGAUUCCCCAACACUCCUUGUGUUAAUGUCUCGAUCUUUGUGCCAUCUAAGUCAAGGUACCUCAGGUUGACCAACAUCUCCAUUCCCUCCGGCACUUCAUCAAGGCUUGAACACCCUUGGAGGUCCAACUUUCUGAGGUGUCCCAACUUUCCUACAUGAGGAAUAAGUUUUAAUGCCCGACACCUCCGCAGUAGCAGUACUUCCAAUUUGUCCAAGUGACAGACGGACUCCGGCAAUUCCGCGAUUUGGGUGUUGCUGAGAUCUAGAUUCUUCAGCACCUUCAAAUUUCUGAAGAAAGAAGUGUGGAUAUUUCCCAACAUGACAUUGUUAUUUAACAACAACCUGGUAAGUUUAGGGCAAUUUGGCGAUAUGCCGUGUGUAAUUUCUUCUAUUUUGUUGCCUUGUAAAUAGACUCUCUCUAGGCAAUCGGUCCAGAAUACUUCCUCUGGUAUUUCUUUCAACCCCAUAUAGGCCUUAACCAUGUGAGUUGUGCUCGUCACCAUAUGCAAUGCCAUGUACCUUGUCAAUGGGUGUAGAUAUAGACACUCUACCUCUAGAUCAUCCAACAGGCAAGCCUUUCUCAUUUUAUCCAAUAUGGUGUUACCUUGGUCAUGCAGUUCUUGCAAGGUUGCAAGUCCAUCUAACAAACCCUCAUCUAUGAACGACUCUAUCAAAUGCUCUCUACUAGUUUCUAAAAGGUCUUCACCAAAACAAAGUGCUAAAUGCAAGAAACACUAUUGCACUUGAUGAUCACCCAAGUUCAUGUAACUGAGUUUCAGUCCUUUGAACGCCUCAAGUUCUAUCCUUGAGUCUUUGAAUUUUUGCAACAUGCCUUUCCAUUCGUGAACUUUCUCUACUCCCCUCAUGCGAGUCCCUAUAUCAAUGAUCCCAAGUGGCAAACCAUCACACUUGUGCAUGAUAAACUUCGCAAUUUCUUCAAUAUCUGAAGGGAGUUUUCCAGCGAAGCAAAGUACCUUUAAAAAUAACCUCCAAGACUCUUCCCUCUCAAGAGGUUUUAUUUUGAUUUGCUUUUGACAGAGCAUCAUAAAACACACAUCUAGUGAUCGAGUAGAGAGCACCAACUUUACACUGCCCAUUUCAACUGGAAUUCCCACGUCUUUAACUUCGAAAUGCAUCCACAGGCCAUCUAAAAUUAGAACAGAUUUCUUCAUCCUCAGAUGUCCAUACAGUAUGCUUGCCCUCCUCUUCACGUCCUUCUCAUUUGAGAUAUUGUGUAGCCCGACUGCAUUGGCAAUCUCUUCUUGCAGUGCAUAUGUGCUAAAUUCCAAAGGCACAUUGACCCAUAAUACAUCAUCAAAAGCACGAUUCUCCAAGAGUUUAUUAUGGACAUGCGUCAAAAUGGCUGUCUUGCCCACUCCAACCAUUCCAACAACACCAAUGAUGGAAAUGUUCUCCUGCACUAAAUAGGAAUAAAUUUCAUUAAUCUUUCGGUGAGUCCCUCCGCCUACUAAUUCUGUUGUCACUAAGGGAGAUCUUCUGCUGCAUCCUUUAGCAAGUGUCGUUGUCUCUUGGAGGAAUCUUUCUAGAAUUGGAAGAAUCUCUUUAAAUUCUUUGACUGCCUGCCCCAAGCUGCAACAUCCUUUUAAUUUCCUCCACUUUGACUCAUUCAUGUUCUCUACGCCCCUGCUCGUAAGUUCUUCCCGCUUCCUUUUGAUAGAUUUCAUAUUCUCGAUGGCAGGCCCACAAGUACUUGGUUUACUCUGUGUUCUGGCAUCUAACGUCAAUCAUAAAUAAAAAUUCAAUAUGUGCUUUUUCCUAGACAGUUUUUAUAGAAAUGUGACGCUCACAGAUAAAUAAUUCGUUUGUAACAGUGUAUUCAACACUUUCAUAACAAAUGUAUCAUUUACAACCUCCCAUCAAAUAUAUAAGGAAUAAAGGCACUGCUAAUCCCCAAUCCUCUGCAAAAUAUUCAAUCAUGUCCCUGAAUUCUUGAACUAUAUAUUCUGGGACAGUUUCAAAUGCAAAAUAUGCGCAAUCGUGUGGAACAUAAUUUUUUAAAUACUUGACAUUUAUUGUCAUGACUCCGAUGGAGGAACUUGUUCGGUCAACUUAAUAUUUCUGACUAUAGAUCUUUGAGAUGGAACAUAUGGAUGAUUAUAGAUUUCUUAUCAAAACAUGCAUAAGAACCUGGAGAUGCAGAACUGGAGAUUCAUUAGGAUUAACGAUUUGCUAAAGUGAGCAUGAAGAAUAAAUGCAUUACCAGGGAAAGCUCACAAGUGCACGUGCGACAUGCCUCAACCUUGCGCAGAAUUACUAGCCACUUCUAUAGAUAUAUGCAGAAUUGGAGAUUUGCUAGGAUUAAAGAUGUGCUAAAGCGAGCAUAAAGAAUGAAUUACUACGUAAAGCUCGCACGUCGACCUUGUGCGAACUUCAUUAGCCAUUAUAUUAGAUAUGGAUAGAUGUUCGAGUGUGGAUAGUUCCCCAAAACCCCACACAAUUUGACCAACUCGAUAUGUUGAAAGCUUCCAAACUUAGCAACACAUAAUUCGCUGCAACAUCUACAACCCUUUUUCUAUUACGAAGAAAAGUAGAAACCAGAAAGUGGUUAACCAGAUACACGCUAGCGCCCUUCUAUGCAUCCUCCUUUUCACUUUGGAAGUAAUUUUAGUGAUUGAAGUGAUAUCCACAUAGUUGAAAUAUGUUCAAAAUUUUGGUACAUGAGAAUGAAAUUAAACUGGUGCUCUUGUGUGUACUGAUACAAUCGUCCAUCUCCAACAAAGUCGGCCCACUAGCAACUUAUAUACAAGUGCGAGAUUAUCACGUGCUUAGAUAGAGAGCAAUGAAUGGCUUUUCGAGAUUUGAACGUCAGGAUUAAAGGCAUUUGUUCCUUCAUAUUGGAAGGAUCUAUUAAUCAUCAAUGACGGACUUUUAAGUUCCUCUCUUCCUAUUCUAUUCUGUGUCUUCUAUUACAAUUAGAAAUCUAGACGUCCUGCCUUUAUCCUUAUUACCAGGUAAGGAUUGGGACACAGAUUACGGGUCCGAAUGAGCUUUAGAAAAAUGGUAAAAUGGUGAAUUUGAAGAUGCACGUACCAUGUGGAAGAACCCCUAUACUGGAUUCACCUUCAUCUGCAUUCGGUGGGAUUAUUUUAACCAAGGAUACUGGGUCGAAUGAAGAGUGCGUCUCGGUCAUCAUGCGUCCAGCAGGAGUAAAUGGGAACGGCUGAGGCAAUGGACAAACGGCAGUGCUUAUGACACCGGAGCUCACGUAAGGCAUGGCAGCCGUUGCAUCUUCAUUGCUCGCGGUCGCAGGCUGGUGCGGACCCUCCUCAACAUCGCAUCGCCCGUUGCUCGAUUCCACCGCUAUUUUAGCCUUCAACGCUUCUCCGGCUUCUGAUCUAACUCGGUCGUCGCCCAACAGGAACCUAUGAAAGAGGAAGUGGCCCAUCAAUGCCUGCAGUCCCACAGACUGCUUCCCGCAUAAUUUACAGCUCCACCCAUAAUCAUAAUCAGGCAGAGCUCCGGCCCCAACAACCUCCGUGGCGGCUAUCGCCAAUGUCCUGUAUCACGAAGAAGAGUUCGAGUGACUGGAGAACAGGCAAGACGUAUGAAGCAGUUAUCAGAUUUUGCUCCUCAGAUUGGAAACUAACCUUUUGGUGUCUUCAUCAAUGUUUUCUUCCCUUUCCGAAGGCGGUUUCCUCUCUUGUUCUGCUUCUGCAAUCUCUCUGUUCGGAGAUUUCUCAGUCGCCAUGGCCUUGCUGCGUUCCUCCAGGCACCGGUUCCGCCGUUGCCGAAAGAAAAUUCUGCAAGAGGAUGCAAUCUCACUGGCAAAUCCCCCUCGACCGAGCUCCAAAAGAUCUCGCCCUUCGCCCCAACCCAAAUCUCGCCAUUGAAUCCCGCUUUACCGCAAAAUACGAAGCGGUGCGAUACUGCGAGACUCGCCCUGGAUUUUGCCUGCCGCAGACUACGCAAAAUAUAUGAAGAUUAAAAGAACCUUCCUACCCAAAAAACAACAGAGAGGGAGAGAGAUUAAAAUAACCAAAAUAAAUCGAUAGGGAACGUGGCGUUCGGAACGUCACCGUCCCCGAGGUUGUCUCACGGAAACGUGCUAAUGGUAAUGGGGCCAUCCACGCCGUUAGUUUCGAAGAAGCAAAGGAGCAUCGUUGGAUAGAUUACAGCUUAGAAGAAAUUACAGAUUAACAUGGGAAAAAUUUUAUCUGGUAGGAUGUAUCUCAAAUUAUAUAAGAUUUUCAAAGAUUAUUACCUGAUUUAGGAUAGAUUCUUAUUUCUUUUUUAGCAUCGCGAUUACUUAAUUAUCUAGAAUAUUAUUGAUUUUAAUUUAUCUUAGGAGAGAGUUUACUUUCUCAAUCGAAAAAAAAGUUUCAAAUAAAUACGACAAACUCUCUUUCACUAAAGAUGUAUGGAAAUUACUAAUCGUCUCAUGCUUUCUUAAUUUGGAUAAAUUUCAAUUUCUGAGGGAUUGUAUUCAUGAUCUGACGACAUUUGGCCAUCUAUCGGACUCUCUAACGGUGGUCUGUAUCUUGAAUGCCAUCUUCGGUUAUUUGACGGCCCUGUCUCCGGAUUACUGGACCUAUUGCCUCCUCCGCUUCAUUACUGGAUUUAGCACGGGCGGGGUCGGCCUAUGCGCUUUCGUACUGGCCACCGAGCCUAUUGGCCCAAAGAAGCGCGGGGCGGCAGGAAUGUCCACUUUCUACUUCUUCUCAUGCGUCAUAGCUCUUCUCUCCGGCAUCGCUUAUGUGUUUUGCUCAUGGCGGGAGCUCUACAUCGCUUCCUCCAUUCCGUCCAUGCUCUUCCUCGUGGGGGUCCUCCCUUUCAUCUCAGAGUCCCCACGGUGGUAUCUCGUCCGGGGAAAGAUUGAUGAGGCCAUGAAGCUUAUGCGAGCUAUCGCCAAAGCCAACAAGUAACACCUCCCCGAUGGGGUCAUCCUCGCACUUGAUGAGGAAGUGAAUGAAAACUCGAACGAUGGUCCAUCCUGCAAAGAUCAGAUGGACACAAAGGAUGCAAUAACAGGGUCUCUCAUCGAUGUGGUGAAGUCGCCUGUCACUCGGAUUCGCCUUUUCUUGGCGGUGGCAAUCAACUUUCUUUGUUCGGUCGUGUACUACGGCAUUAGCCUAAACGUUGUCAAUCUCCAGACCAACCUUUACCUUAGUGUGUUCCUCAACGGCGUGGCUGAAAUGCCAGCCUUUACAAUAACGGCCCUAUUGCUUGAUAAGUUCGGGAGGAAGCCGCUGGCAAUCGGAACACAGUGGUUCAGUGGAAUAUUCUGUCUUAUAGGGAGCUUGGUGAUGAUACACGGGGAAUGGAAAGUGGCGAGGAUGGUGUGCGGAAUUCUUGGGAUUUUCGGGAUGGCCGGCACGUAUAAUUUGCUCUUCAUCUACAUGGCUGAGCUGUUUCCGACCGUGGUGAGGAAUGCGGCUCUUGGCUGUGGAGCUCAGGCGGCGCAAAUGGGUGCGAUUUUGGCGCCUUUAGUGGUGGUCUUAGGAGGCGGCUUCCCCUUUGCGGUCUUUGCGGUUUGUGCAAUUCUGGGAGGGAUACUAGCAUUUUACCUCCCGGAGACACUGAAUCGGCCUUUGUAUGAUACAAUGGCUGGAAUGGAAGGUGGGGAGAGUGUAUGAAGGAGCUCAAUCCUCUUACUUCAAACUAAACUUGAUUAAUGUAGGCUUAAAUGACUCUUCUUGAUGAUAGGAUUUUCCUUUUUUUCCUUUGGGACAUGAGAGUGCAGGAUGGCAGAAUCUGUCUCUUAUAAAAGGGGAGAACGUUUGUAAAAGUGUAUCUUUCAAAUCACUCAUGUUGCCUUAAGGCAGUUGCCAUCACGUGAUGAGAACACAUUAUGCUGACCUUCGACUCUUAGUGUUGUCAGAUUAAUGCAUUAAACUCCACAUAAUGUUGCUAUCAGCAUCACUGAUCCUACUAUCGAUAUGUUGAAAAGAAAACGUUUGUGUCUGAUCAUUCUGCCUUCGUGCAAGAGCAUCAAACCCACCGGUUCUUUGAAAUAAAAGGCGAGUUCACCGCAAGAUUAGUGCUUAAGGGACUACCCCCACUAGGUGGUACAGUCGACUCUAUCCUGAAUAUGCAGAAAAUUACAUCUCUUAGACGAGGAAAAGAUUCUGCUUUUCAUCUUGUACUUUCGCACAUUUACUAAUCAAGUUAUUUUAGUUUCAUAAUAUUUUAUCGUCUUGGCACCGAAUCUGACCAAACCAAGCUGACGUGGCCGUUGGAUGAUACCAAAGUAUGAGGCGGAUACUUAUGUGGACAUGGGUGGAAAAAUAUAGCCAAUGUAGACGUCGGAGUUGAUGUGGAUAAGACUUUUGCCAUGUAAACGGUCAUGCAGACGUCUACAUUACAGAAAUAUUAUCCCCUCACACUAUGACGUUGUCCGGGGCUGUGUCAGCUGAAUUUGACCAAAUUUGAUGUUGGAGGGACUUAAAUAGAAAAUGUGAAGAUAGACAAAAAAAGAAAAGUAAAUUGAUUUAAAAAAAGAGCGUAAAAGUAUAUGGAUGAAAAGUAGAAAUAUUUUGACGAAGCUGGAUAGAAUCUCGUGAGUUUUGGCAUGAUGGAGGAGGAAAAGGCGGGUCAGUUCAAGAAAAACAAAUGGGACAGUUGGCCAGUGUUCUCCAUACUGAGGAAAUUACAUGCAACUGUGAGAAAUCCAAAGUAGGGUUCAUGCAGAAUCAAAGUGGUGAAGGAACUCAAUUGUGAAGUUCCUUUUUCUCGCGUUUACUCUCUACUUUCUUUGUGAUUGUGUGACGAAUCCUAACAAUCGUGAUGUUAUAGAACUUGGAGUCUCAAAUAGACAAAGGUGCGCAUAUGCGCAUGAAGUAGACAUAUACUCUUUGAGAGCUUCACCUCUCUUCACAUUCUCUUUGUCCUUUCAUUUCCUCGCAAUUUCAAUUCCUGUUUGUUUUCCUUUCCGAUGUACUUCAAUUCCCAUGAAUUUCCCUUUAAAGUAGCUUCAGUUCGAUACAUUUGUCUCUAUUGGCACUUGGUUUCGAGUUGAUUCAUCACUACAUCCAAAUCCCAUUUGCAUAUUUUGUGUUUGAGCAUGAAACUGCGGAGCCAAUCGUCUAAAGUUCGACACAAUCGACUGACUUGUUUUUCGUCGACUGCAAUAAAAGGUGACUCUACAACAAUAUUUAGUGCUUAAGGACUACCAUCACCAGGUGGUACAGCUAACUCCGAAAUGGAUAGGCAAAAAGUUGUAUCUCUUAGCGAACAAGAUGCAUGCAGGGGAAACCAAAAGAUGGAUUUAGAGGACAAAAAUGUUAAAAAACAGAGGAGAUGCAGAUAUGCAGAUAUGCACAAGAGUAGCGUUAAAAACAGAGGAGAACAGAGGAGAUACUGAUAUUCACAAAAACAGAGGAACCGUUUGCAGAACCACACACAUAAAAAAUUGACACCAUAGCCUUUAUAUAGGCUUUACAAAAACAAAUAACCACCACAGCCCACUAACUUCACACGUACAACAACCAAUCCACAUAAUAGAAGUGCUUAAUAGACUAUUAACACAUAAAAAACAAACCAGAAACAUUGACUCGUUCAACAUUCCCUCCCUUAAACUGAUGUUGCAAACAAUCAGUUUAAAGGACCUUCUCUCAAUUUGGAAUAUCCAACAAACGAACACCAAUGAGCUUUCUCAACUUCUGAAACAUGGACAACUUUAGGGGCUUGGUGAAUAUAUCAGCCACUUGAUCUUCACUUCUACAAAAAACUAGGUCAACUACUUCAUCCUUUGUAAGAUCUCUUAAGAAGUGGUACAUCGCAUCUAUAUGCUUGCUCCUCCCAUGUAGAACUGGAUUUUUGGACAGCUUGAUAGCUGAGCUAUUGUCACAAUAGAUUAUAGUUGCUUCUUGCUAUUUGAACUGAAGCUCUCCAAGAAUCUUCCAUAACCAUAUGGCUUGACAGGCGCAUGAAGUUGCAACAACAAAUUCUGCUUCAGUUGUUGAUAAAGUAACAAUUGAUUGUUUCUUUGAAGACCAUGAAACCGCCCCUAAACCAAGCAUGAAUACAUACCCUGAAGUACUUCUUCUAUCAUCAACAUCUCCAGCAUAAUUGCUAUCUGUAAACCCAAACAAAUCUUACUUUUCUCCCUUUUUAUAGAACAGCCCAAAAUUUUUAGCUCCUUGCAAAUAGCGAAAAAUCUUUUUUGCAGCUUGUAAAUGUAACUCUGUUGGGUGCUCCAUAUACCUGCUUAUAAGGCUCACAGCAUGCAUGAUAUCUGGUCUUGUCCCCGUCAAAUACAUCAGGCUUCCAACAAUUUGCUUGUAGAGAGUGCUAUCCACCUUACUUCCAUUAGGAUCUUUCAAGAGCUUCAAUCCAACUUCAAUUGGAGUAGUCACGGGGUUACAAUUAUUCAUUUGAAACCUGUCCAAAAUCUCUUGAACAUACUUCUUUUGAGACAUAAAGAUUCCAGUUGCAGAUUGAAUUACUUCUAUGCCCAGAAAUAAUGCAUCAAUCCAAGAUCAGUCAUCUCAAAUUCAUCCAUCAUAGACUCCUUGAAUUUGUCAAACAUGGCACUAUCACUCCCAGUAAAAAUAAAAUCAUCCACAUAUAAGCAUACAAGAAGCAACUUUCCACCAUCACCAAUUUUAAUAAAGAGUGUAUGCUCAUAUGGACAUUUUCUAAAACCUUUCUUCAAGAAAUAGGCAUCAAUGCGACUAUACCAAGCUCGGGGAGCUUGUUUUAACCCAUAUAGUGCCUUCUUUAAUUUAUAAACUUUAUAUUCACUACCGAGCUUCACAUAACCAGAAGGUUGAUCAACAAAUACCUUUUCUUGAAGAUCACCAUGCAAGAAUGCUGACUUCACAUCCAAUUGGAAGAUAGGCCAUGAAUUUUGUGCUGCUAAUGCAAUUACUAAUCUGAUUGUGUCAAGUCUUGCUACAGGUGCAAAUACUUCUUUGUAAUCCACUCCAAAUUCUUGCUUGUAGCCUUUCGCCACCAAGCGCGCCUUAUACUUAUCAACUUCACCAUUCUUGUUCAAUUUUGUCUUGUACACCCACUUGACUCCGAUUGUUUUGUGUCCUUUUGGAAGAUCUGUUAACUCCCAAGUGUUAUUCCUCUCAAUAGUUGCAAUUUCUUCAUCCAUUGCUAUCCUCCAAUUUUCUUUUUGUACUGCUUCAUCAAAAGUUGUUGGAUCACAAUCUGAAAACAAAGCAAAAUGGAUAAGUGGAUCUUCAUAUUGAUCAACUCAUGUUACUUCAUAAUCACUCAUCCAUGCAGGCCUCCGUCGAACACGAUGAGGCUGAUCUUCAGGUUUCGCAGCUGCUGCUGUACUUUGGACACUGCCUGUGGCGAUUUGGGUUGUUGUGGAUUGCUACACCAGCUCAUUUUCAUCUUCAAAAUUCGUUGGAAUUUGCUUACCAACACCUUGCUCACCCCACGGCCAAGUUUGUUCUUCAUCAAAAAUCACAUCACAGCUGAUAAUGAUUUUCUUGAUCAUAGGAUCAUAAAGUUUAUAGGCUUUUGAUUGAUCACUAAUGCCAAGAAAAACAUAUUUGACUCCCUUGUCAUCUAACUUCUUCCUCUUUUGGUCAGGAAUAUAGGCGUAGGCAAUACACCCCAAAAAUCUUGAAGUGAUCUACUGCAGGUCUUUGGCCGCUCCAUGCUUCUUCCGGUGUCAUAUUUUGAACAGCUAGAGUGAGACUUCUAUUUAAAAUAUGAAUGCUCCAAUUAACUGCUUCUGGCCAGAAAUUUUUUGGAAUUCCACUUCCCCUCAAGAGACUUCGCACCAUAUUCAGAAUGGUACGAUUCUUCCUCUCACAUACGCCAUUUUGCUGUGGUGUAUAGGCUGCUGUAAGUUGUCUCUUGAUGCCAUGCUUUACACAAAAAUCUAUAAACUCAAGUGAGUUGUACUCUCCACCACGAUCCGUGCGAAGGACCUUUAUUUGAUUUCCUCCAUCCUUUUCAACAAGUUCUUUGAAGUUCUUGAAAGCUGCAAAAGCUUCAGAUUUUUCUUGUAAAAAAUACACCCAAAUCUUCCGGCUAAAAUCAUCGAUGAAGGUAAUGAUAUACCGUUUACCUCCAUUGGAAAUUGGAGAUAUUGGUCCGCAAAUAUCUGAAUGAACCAAUGCCAACGGACUUUUUGCUCUCCACGAUUUUCUUUGUGGAAAUUGAGCACGAUGUUGCUUGCUAACAACACAAUCUUCACAAAUUUCCAAGGAGUAGAGAUUUGAGGAAGACCCUCCACCAUCUCUUUUUUAUAUAGUGUUCGCAACCCACCGAAAUUAAGAUGCCCAUAGCGAAAAUGUCAUAACCAAGCUUCCUCCUUCAAUCUUGCAGAGAAACAUGAAUUUGUAGUGUUGUGGAGAUACAGUGGAAACAUCCGAUUGCCUGUCAUUUUGACUUCGGCAAUUAAACCCAACUUCUCAUCUUGGAUUCUGCAAAUCCCACCUUUAAUAGAGAUUUCAUAUCCCUUCUCUUGCAGCUGACCAUCACUUAACAGAUUAGUCUUCAAUUCAGGGGCAUACAAUACAUUUGAGAUAGUUUGUACCGAAGUCCCUUUUGGAUGAAUUGCCACUGUUCCUUUCCCCAUCACUGACACAAUGGAAUUAUCACCAAACUUUACGAUGUUGUUGUACGUUUCGUCUAGAUCAAAAAAACAUUUUCUUGUCUCCACACAUGUGAUUGCUACAACCAGUGUCGAGAUACCACAUGUUUGGUUGAGUUUCUUCAUUCUCAUGGCACACCAUCAAAAGAGAUACUUCUUCUUCUUUUUCAACAAAGUUAGUUCUUUCAAUUCUUUGUUUAUUCAAAUUAGUUCGACAUUCAGAUUUGUAAUGCCUAUACCUGUGGCAUCUAAAACACUCCACUUUGGAUUUGUCUGCUGACCUUGGCCUAAAACCAGUUGAAUGUCGUCCUCCACGACCUCUUCCUCUCCCUUGGAAAUCACGAUAGGAAUAGCUUUCAGACUUUUGAUCAAAGAUGAAGCUGCUGCGAUCGUUGUUCUCCCUUCCUCUGCCUCUUCCUUUGUUCACCCUUGCUGCUGAUGAAGAAUGAUCUCCAGUUGAGACCUUCAAAGCUUGCUCUUCCGUCUCUUGUUGUAGUAGUUUUUGUUCAUGAACUAACAAGGAUCCUUGCAACUCAUCAAUGGAAAGUUCUUCAAUGUCCUUGGCUUCUUCUAUGGAACAAACAAUAAAGUUGAACUUUGGUGUCAAAGAUCAAAGAAUCUUUUCAACGAUGAUGACAUCCUCCGUCUUGUCGCCAUGAAUCCGCAUCUUAUUAACUAUUUCCAUUGUCCGAGAGAAGAAAUCUGUGAUUGUCUCUCCCGACUUCAUUCGUAGCAUUUCAAACUCCGAACGAAGCAUUUGAAGCUGCUGCUUCUUUGCUCUUGCUGAGCCUUGAUACUUUUUCUUCAUGGAAUCCCAUAUUUCCUUGGAGGUAUCCUUGCAAAGAAUUUUCUCCAAAAUGGAUCUGUCAAUUGCUUGGAAAAGAUAGUUUUUGGCCUUGAGAUCCUUCAAUUUUAAUGUAUCUAAAGCCGUUCUUUGCGCUGCCGUUAACACAGCUCCUUCAUCAGGUUCGGCAACUCCCAAAGAAACAACAUCCCAAUACUCCUUGAACUUGAGAAAAUUCUCCAUUAGCAUGCUCCAAUGAUCAUAGUGACCAUCAAAGUGUGGAAUAGCAGGUUGUACAAAUGUUUCUGAGGCCAUUACUGCUGUUGCAAAAUAGAACCACCACAAAAGCAACCUGCUGCUGCUACAAACGAAAAUAACCUGCUGCAAUACUCUCCUUUGACUGCUGCAAACGAAAGUACUUGCUGUAAUAAAAACUCUCUUUUGGUUCUCACCUUUUUACAGCACUCAAACACACACUUUUCUUCCUAACCUCGGCUCUGAUACCAAUGUUAAAAAACAGAGGAGAUGCAGAUAUGUAGAUAUGCACAAGAGCAGCGUUAAAAACAGAGGAGAACAGAGGAGAUGUUGAUAUUCACAAGAACAGAGGAACCAUCUGCAGAACCACACACAUAAAAAACUGACACCAUAGCCUUUAUAUAGGCUUUACAAAAACAAAUAACCACCACAGCCCACUAACUUCACACGUACAGCAACCAAUCCACAUAAUAGAAGUGCGUAAUAGACUAUUAACACAUAAAAAACAAACCAGAAACAUUGACUUGUUCAACAAAAAACACGAUGUGGGGCCGUCAUGUAUGGACACAAGAAAAGAAAUCAACAAAAUAUUAACUUAGAUGGCAAGAAAUUUAUUCCUCUUCUUGUGACCUUGAGGUUUAAGCCUCGUUGGGAGUAUUUCACAAGUAAAAUUCUAUUUGAAUGUCCUAGACUGUUAUGGGAAAGUGCGCCUUUAAGAUCUUUUGAGGAGAUAGACUUGGCAAGAUGUGCCAAAGUUAGCUUGGACAACCAUUUAACUGUGAAUAUUAAAAAAAGAAAGAAGGCAUAAAUCAAGCACAUCUUAUUACGGGAACCAGAAGUACCUAGACAUCAAUCGAGCCAGAUGACUUAGCAAUGGCGAUAACUUUUGAUGUCCACUGCUCUCAACAGACGAUUCAUCGGUGGGAUCAUCUGUGGAUUUCAUCAGUCUGGAUGCAGAGGUGAUUGGUCUGCAACGUCCCUCACUGUAAUCAUACCAAGAUCGUCUUUGUCCUAGAUAGAAUGUCAUGCCACACACACAUUAGCUUACAAGAACUUGACUUGUGGCCCAUUCUCUUGCUAACCCCAUCUAAUUUCUAUCCAAUAUUGCUUCCAAAAGAUCAGCCCUCAGAGAUUUCACAAAGUCGUAAAGAAAGUUAACCACUCAUCUCCUUUUCACUACAGAAAACGAUUUAAAGAAAUUAAAGUUAGUCGUACCACCUAGUGAUGACAGUCAUUUAGUUAUUUUCACCGGAUAACUUACUGUAGGGUAAUUUAUCUUAAUCUAUCAACAACGUAGAAUGAUAUCGAUUACAACAAGACAUGAAUGUUAUAUGUUUGUUUUGAGGAAAUGAAACUAGAAUAGAUAUAAUGGUCUCGGAAAAUUAGGGUUUUAUCAAUUCCCCCGAUUUGGUUUUCAGUUUUUGGUUCCUAAAAUGAUGUAGUUGGAAACCAGACCAGGUCGAAAUGGAGCCUGGAACCAGACCUAUUCCCAUAGGUUUGGUUCUCUGGUUCUCAAAUCUACUAUAGAACCAUGCUCAUCCCUAAAUAUAUCCUAUCAAAUAUUUUUUUCCCAUGUUUUUGUGAUUUUGAAAUUGCAAUUGUAAAUUUCUUCCUUUUGGCAAUUACUAAAUUUGGUAUGGAGUUGGCAACUUAUUUUCUCAACUUAUGAGUAAUCUGCAGAUACUAGUAAAGUUCCUAAAUCAUCGGUGAUUUGGGAACGCCGGAUAGAAUUUUCGUAAAAUCAAUUUCCGGAAAUUUUGAACACAAAGAAAUAAAUGUCUCAAGAAUCUAACUGGAAAUUUGAAUAGCAGUUUUGGAGUUGCUUUCCUCUUACAUAAUCCGACGAUUGUCUUUGCUUGUUUGAAAACAAACGGUGUAGAUGUGCCGAGCAUGAUUAUUGGUCAACCCAUAGGAACGUUGGAGGUUGCACAAUCGAGGGCACUCUCGAUUUGGUGAAUCGUAGAAAUCAAGAUGGAUAUUUUUAUCUCCUUUCAUGUAAAUUAUUUAAUAUUAAUGAUAUAUCAAUAUAAAUGAACUUAAAAAUGCGCAAACAAAGAUUAUAAUAAUCUUUUAUAAUUCACAGCCAAUUCUAGUAGAAGAGAGAAAAUAUAAUCAUUCAUUUUUGUGAUUAUAAAAAAUAGUACUUUGACUUUCUCGCUACUUUGAAACUUCAAUAAUAACCACAAAAUUACAGAGGAGUUUCGACUCUUUCUUGAACUUUUGACAUGAACUAGAGAGUUACGAAAGAAAAGAAGUUCCGUCUCUUUUGCCAUUUUCACGGAACAUUGACGUGAACUAAAAAACCAUGGAGGAGCCAUGAAAUUUCAACGUGAACUAGAGAUAGAAAGGAGAUGGAGAGGGAGAUGGAGACGGUAGGUUUUUAUUUAUUUAUUUAAAUUUCGUUGCCCUCAUUUUUCGAGCAUUAGAAUGAUCUUUUUAAGUUUGAAUUGGUUCAUUUAAAAUCUAGGUUCUUCUACUUCAUUUUUAUUUACUUAAAUCUUUUAUUCCCCUCCAACAUUCCUUAAUAAAAAUUCUAUCAAAUAAUAUAUUAUACUAUUAUACCUAAAAUAUGUUAAAAAAUGAUAUAUUGAGGGCUUUGUGGCCCUUGCUUAGAGGGGGUUGUCGGCCCUCACCUAGUGGCCACCGACCAUGGCUAACCCUUUGAACUAAGAAAGAAAGAAAAGAAAAAAAAGGAAAUUUAAAAAAUAAAAAUUGAUAAAAAAAUAAAAAUUUGUUAAAAGGCUAACGCCUAUGCUUUUCUAAUUACGCUCUUAUUCUUUAAUAUGCCUAAUCAAGCCCUUCUACUUUUCAAUUAUUUUAAUUAACUCCCCCAACACCAAAUUCGAUCAAAUUCAGCUUAUAGGGCCACCGGAUAACACUAAAGUAUGACGAUAAAAUAUGCGGAUGCCCACAUAGAGGUGCGAGGAAAGCUAUAGCCAUGUACACAAUAUCAAAGCUUGAUAUGGAUAUAAUUUAGCUACUCUAAAAUCAAACCUACUAUGGCAUAUCGGGUUGAGACUUGAGAGAGUAUCUAUUCAAGCAACGAAAAUAGAGGGAAGUGACAAGUAAGGAAGACAAAUCGAGAAAUACAGAGAGAGAUGCUUAUCACAAAUAGGAUAAGAAGACAAAAAUAAAUUAAGCAUAUGUCAUCACAGAAACCGAAGGUACUUCAAAAAUCAACCGAGCAAGACGACGUAGAAAUGCUGAUAACUUUGUUGUCCACUGCUACAAUUCAUCCUCAGCUGAUCAUAUACGGAUACUGUGACGGCCCGAGCGAUCGUCCUAGGACGUGCACAAGGAAGGGUCCCUCUCUUCUCUUGUCUAACAUUGCCUAGGGAGGGAGGUUUUGGUUAGCUUAUAAGGCUUGGGUUCCUCUAAUAUUUGUAACGCGUUUUAAAGCCGUGAGGGAAAAGACCAUGGCUGGGAUGGCGGUUCGUCCGCGCUAGGACGGGUGACCCAAAGCGGACAAUAUUACACAGUGGGGCCCGGAAUGUUAUAGAUACGCUCGCCCCAGCAGUCUGGGUUUAGAAUGAUUACAUUUUGUUAGUCAUUUGCUAAUAUCAUCAUCGUCCUAUGUAAAAUAUCAUGCCACAUGACUAUUAAUGAAAAAUCUAUCAACAUAUGUAUGGCAAUGCAUUUUGAUAGAGCUUAUAAAAACACGAUCUCUGGCCCAUUCCCUUAAUGACACCUAAAAAUGAGAAAAAAACUAAUUUACAUUGAUUUCAUUUUUUAUUACAGUACAACAAUUAGUUUAGAAACCGAAAAGGAGUUUGCAAUUGAAAAUAGGAGUACUGGGCGAGCUAAAAUAGAAAAGGUAACAUAAUGAAAAGGUAAAAAAAAAAAGAAACGUGAAAACUAAUAAAGUAGAACUUAAGAAUUAGACCCGAUAUUUUGGCACUUUUAAGUGAAAUUGCCAUUAUUAUUCUUUGAACAAUGCCACAGCAACUAAUUUUCAAUGAUAAUAUAACCAUUUUGAUAUACUUUCAAGCUAUAAUAAAAGUUAUAUGCACUAGGCCUAAUAGUUAGUAUAAAGUUCGGAAAAGAAGAAAAGUGAUUUUUCCGUACCAUGGGAGAUCGAUGGUUAAAUGGAGAGAAUAAAAGAAACCAUGGGAGAUCGAUGGUUAAAUGGAGAGAAUAAAAGAAACGUGAAAAUUUUGGGUAACUCACAAUAAAUAAACUCGAUGAAGGGUUCGAGGGAGAUAGGGGCAAGGGGAUGGUCCCACUCCAGCGCUUGCCACGUCGCCUUGUUAUCUAUGAAAAUCUUUCCAAGGGAGGGGGGAGGAGAAAGGAGGCCAUUGUCAAGUAGGUGCAGUCGCAAAGGAAUACUCUUCAGCUCCGGACAAUCGUAUAUUUCAAUAUAUUGGAUGUGAUCGCAACUCUCCAUCCGAUCACAUAUCCUCUUCAGUUCCCAAAGAUUCUUUAGAGUCAAGUGUGUUAACUUUGGGAAGGAGGAUUGCGUCAUGUUCGGAGCAAUGCCUAUUAUCACCUCUAUGCCCUCGCAGUUUAUGAUUAUUAUAUCUCGGAGGAAAGGGAUGUGGAGCAACAUAUCGUGCGUUAGCAGCACCCCCUUCAUGGUGUUGCAUCUUACAAUUUUAAUCUCCAUAAGAAGACAAGUGGCACCGAUUGGCAAUGGCCCACCUAUUAUUUCCUCUAAUUUCUCACAAUAAAUUAUUCCAAUGGACUUCAGAUUUGGAAGGCGAGUGGUCAGCCAGUCCCAUUCCACCACUCUUUUCAUUUUAUGACAACAUUGCACUUCCGCAGAGUUUAGAUUGGGCGCAGCUAAAUCGAUCCCUUCCAGUUCCUCUGAGCCUGUGAUUGUAAACCAGCGUAGAUGUGGAAGCCCCUGUCCCUCCACUGAGAGACGCUUCAAUUUGGAACAGCAAUUGAUGUCCAGUCCCUCCAGCUGAGGGAAGUGGACAGCACCCAGCUCCUCCAACUUCUCGCAAUCUAGAAUCUUUUAUAGUCAGCUCCUUUAGAUUCUCCAGUGGGCCUACCUCACUCAAACUUGUCACCCCACUGCCCCCUCCUACUUCCAGUACUUGCACAUUUCUCGGAAGCAAAUUGCGGCCUUCCCCACCGAUAAGUCCAUCUACCCUUUGGCGUAAUAGCAUCGCGACUUUCAAUACGUACACAUAUCCUCUGCUCAUGCCAAUUGGAAACGCCUUGUUCACGAGGUUUUACACAAAACAAUUCAAAGAAAUUAGAUACUUGAAUGUAAACAACAUGAAGAAAUUAGAGACUUCCCUGACUAAUCAAGCUUAAUCAAAUUAAACAGAAAGAAAUUCAAUAUGUGCAAAUAUGCAAUUGGAAGUCCAAGAACAGGUGUUCCUUUCUAAAAACGAGUAAGACUAAUUUACACUGGUUUAAUUUUUUGAUUAAAGUGCAGAGAUUAAUUUAAAAAGCAUGUUAGAGUUCGAAAGCGAAAAUAGAAGUACUAGAUGAGGGAAAACAGAAUAGGCAACAAAAAGAAAAUGUAAAAAGCAAUUAACAUGCUCCUUUAAACUCGCCCAACCCAUGAAGUAGAAGUCAGGAAUUGAUUCUAUAUUUUGGCACUUUUAAACGUCAUAAUUUACCAAAAUGAAGAAGAAGUGUAGUAUUUUUAAGGUACAAUAGGUUAAAAAGAGAGAGAGAGAGUGAGGACUGUUCAGUAUUAUCCUUUCAAAGUGAAAGGUGUGUUUUCUUUAUCGAAAUUUCAAUAAUAAUAUAACCAUUUUGAUAUACUUUCGAGUUGUGAUAAAAGUCAUACACACUGGGUCUAACAGUGUGGUAUUAAGUUUCCCCAAAAAAAAAAGAGGGAAACUUACUGUACCGCGGGAGUGCAUCCUUCGAAAGGCCCACAGGAGAUGGAGAGGAUAAAAGAAAAUUAAAAAUUUGCGGGUGACUUACCAUAAUCCCAGGCUAAGUGUCGAAGUGAAGGAUGGAAAGGGGAAUGGUCCCACUCCAGCGACUGCCACGUCAGCUCAUCUAUCCAAAUAUCAUCAUCUAUCCAAAUACCAUAAUCAUCGCAAGGACCCUUGUCAAGCAGAGGAAGCCUCUUCAGCUUCGGACAGUCUUCUAUCUUCAUAUAUUGGAUUGAAAGCCAACUCACGGUCCCUUCACAUAUGGUCUUCAGCUCUGGAAGAAUCCUUGAAAGUCAGGUUUAUUAAAUGUAGGGGCUGAACGAAGCUCAUUAUCGGCUCUACGCUAAUGCAGCCUGGGACCACUACAUGUUGGAGGAAAGGAAGGUUGAGCAACACGUCAUGCCUCAAGUUGCUGCAUCCUUCUAUAUCAAUCUUUGUAAGACAACAAGGUGCACCGAUCGGCGGUAGCCCACCUACUAUCUCCUCUAGUUGCUCGCAAUCUUUUAUUUUAAUGGACCUUAGAUUUGGAAGGUGAGUGGCUAGCCACUGCCAUUUCACCACCCACUUCAUUUUAGGACACCUGUACACUUUUAUAUUAUAAAGAAAAGGUGCCGCUAUAUUAAUCCCCUCUAGUUCCUCUGAGCCCUCGAUUUUUAACCAUUGUAGACAUCGGAGCUCGUGCCCCUCCUUCAAGAAAUGCUUCAGUUUGGUACACCGAGUGAUAUUCAGUCUCGGUAGGCGAGGGAAGUGGACAGCACCCAGCUCCUCCAGCUUCUCCCAUUCCUUUAUCUUCAGCUCCUCUAGAUUAUUAAGUGGGCCUACCUCGCACAAACUUGUCACCUCAUCGCAUUGUCCCACUUCCAGUACUUGCACAUUUUUGGGAAAUAGAGCGCGGCCAUCCCCACCAAUUUCUCCAUUUACCAUUGCCGCAAUACUAUGGCAACUUUCGAUGAUUAUACGCCUCUCGUGCUUAUUAUCCCUAAAGAAGUAGUUUCCUGAUAAACUCAGUGCCAGGUCAUAUGAUUGGGAGCUGUUUUGCUCGACAAGCCUCACACAUGCAUUGAAUGUUUCAACAUUUGGAACAGAGCAAUAGAAUCCUUCCACUGAGCAAUAGAAUCGUUCCACCAAUGUUAAUUCUAUCACUUCCUCCCAUGCCAUAUCGUAAUUAAUCACCAGAUAUUGCAAGUUCACCAGCUUCCCCAACACUCCUUCUGGUAACCCCUUGAUCUAUGUGCCAAGCAGGUCAAGGUACGUUAGCUUUACCAGCAUCUCCAUUCCCUCCGGCACUUCUCCAAGCAUAACACACCCACUAAGGUCCAACUUUUUUAGAGCUUUGAACUUUCGUACACAAGGUACACAAUGUAAUUCCUUACACUCUCGGAGUAACAGUGCUUCUAAGCUCUCCAAGUGAGAUAUAGUGUCCGGUAAUUCCGUGAUUUUUGUUUUGCUGAGAUCUAGAACCUUCAACCCCUUCAUAUGCUUGAAGAAAGAUUUGUGGAUGGCUUCCAAAGAGACAUUGUUAUCCAACGACAGCCUCAUAAGUUUAGGGCAAUUUGGCGAUAUGCCGUAUGGGAUUUCUUUUAUAUCGUUGCUUUGUAAAAAGACUUUCUCUAGGUGAUCGGUCCAGAACUUAUCCUUUGGAAUCUCUUUCAAUCCCAUGUUGGCCUUGACCAUGUGAGUUGUGCUCGUCACUAUUUGCAAUGCCAUGUCCCUUAUCAAGGGGUGUACUAACAGAUAUUCUGUGUCUUUAUCAACCCCCAGGCAAGCCUUUUUUAUUUUGUCCAAUAUGGUGUUACCUUUAUUGUGCAAUUCUUGCCGAGUGGCUAUUCCACUUAACAAGCCCUCAUCCAUGAAAGAUUCUAUCAAAACCUUUUCGAUGAUUUCAGCUUUAGAGUACUCUCCAAAACAGAGUAUUAAAUGCAAGAAAGACUGCUGCACUUGAAGAUUACCCAAGUUCAUGUAACUGAGUUUCAGUUUCUUGAACACACCAAGUUCCAUCAUCGAAUUUUCUAAUUGCUGCAACAAGUCUUUCCAUUCAUGCACUCCCUUUGGUCCCCUCAUCUGAGUUGCAAUCUCAAUGAUCCCAAGUGGCAAACCUCCACACUUAUCCAAAAUGGAGCUUGCAAUUUUUUUAACUUCUGAAGGGAGGUCUCUCCCAAAGCAAAGCUUUUUUAAAAAUAAGACCCAACAAUCAUCUCGCAAAUCUAGAGGACCUAUUUUGACUUGUUUUUGGCAGACCAUCUUCUCAUAUACAUCUAGCAAUCGAGUUGUCAUUACCAACUUAAUGCUUCCUUUCUCAACUGGAAUUCCCACAUCCUCAAUGUCAAAGUGCAUCGACAGACCAUCUAAACAUAAGACAGCUCUCUUUCUCUUCAAAUGCCUAUUCAAUAUGCAUGCCCUCCUCUUCACAUCCUUAUCCAUUGAGAGAUUGUCUAGUCCGACUACAUUGGCAAUCUCGUUUUGUAGUUUAUAGAUGCUAAACUUCCGAGGUACAGUGACCCAGAACACAUCAUUAAAGUUAGGAUCCUCAAGUACUCUAUUAUGGACAUGCAUUAGAAUGGUUGUCUUGCCAACUCCCGCCAUUCCAUAAAUACCAAUGAUGACAAUCUCAUCCUCCAUUAGAUAGUUGCAAAUCUUAUUUAUUGUCUUCUUACUUUCCUUGUCUACUAGCCCUGUUGUUACCAAGGGUGAACUAUUCCUACGUCCAGCAGCAUGUGUUGUCCACCCUUUUCGGAAGCUACAGUGGCCUAGAAUAUCUUAAACUUCUUUGCUCAAAUCAUUUACUCUUUCUACCUGCUGUGGAGAAAGAGAUCUACCUUCUCGGAAUGCUUGGACCAUGCUCCAGUAUUCUCCUCUUAUCCUUUGUGCUUUCCUACACCAUGUCUCCAACCCAUCCAUGUCUGCUUCUCGAUUGCUUAGUUCUUCCAGCUUUCUUUUCAGAGUUGGCAUAUUCUUGUCAACCAGCCCACAAGCACCUGGUUGACCAUCCACGAGUGCAUCAUCUGUCCUCGCAUCUAACAUCAAGGAAAUACUCAGUAUUUUCUAGAAACAUAAUGUUCACAAAACAAUAUGAAAUAAGACGAAAUGUAAGGUUGUGUAUAUAUAAGAGAAAGAAAGGCGGGGGGGGGGGUGCCUUGGGGGUCCUUGGGAUUGGGCGAGAGAAAGAGAAAGAGAAAGAAAGGGGGCGAGAGCAUUUGCCCUGUUGCUGGGUUUAGUUGCUAUCGGUUUGCUUUGAGCUGUUGAUGGGUUCAGGUAGUAUCUGGGCCUGUAUGGGAUGGGUUGAAUUGAUAUUUUGACCAGUAUAGGAUGGGUUGAAUCGUUAUUUAGGCAUGUAUGGGAAGUGGUUCUCCCUGUAUUUUACAUUAAUAUAAAAAGUUGAAAAUUGAAGUAUGUAUUUUAGCAUAAAUUACUCGUGAAAACGUAUCAUAUUUCAUAUGAAUCUUCAUGUUUUAAACAAAGUGCAAUUCCAAGUAAUAUAUAUUAGUGUAAAAUAUAUGGACUUGAUAACAGUUAGGGAAUUUUUAAUGGUAGUUAUUACAUGACAUAAAGGAAUAUGUAUGAAAUCAACUCCAUUACUGUCAUAUUAAGAGAAAAUAAUAAAAUCUUUCAAAUAAAUAUUUAAAAAGGAAAAAAAAGAGUUACAAAGAAUGUUUGAGAUUUCAAUAAUUGCUAAUUUGCAACAUUAGAGAUUAUUAAAACUAAUCCUUUUUCCUCAUGGUAUUGAAUGGGGUAAGUAAUCCUAGUUAAAGGCAAAAUGAGUGGAGAGUGCAACAAAAUACCACUUGCAAAGAGAAUAAGCAAUCUCUUUCAAUUUAGACUCCUAAGUGUCACUUCUAAAGGCAACACUCAAGAAUGAGCUUGUUAUUAUAUAUUUUUAUAGAUGCUAACAUUUAUGUAUCUAUUCUUUCAAAAUGUUCGAGCGGUACAAUACUAGAAAAAUUUAGAUCAACCCCAUAAGUUAAAAGUAGAAGUUAAAAAUAAAUGUCCCCUUAACCAGACCCUAAGUUGAAAUUUGAAAUUUGAAAUUUGAAAUUUGAAAUUAAAGCCUUAAAAAAAGGAGAUAUACCUCAUAUCUACAUCUAAGGUAUGAAGACUAAUAUCCCAACUGUUCUAUAAAAAAAGAACUAUACUUGCUUUCAAUUGGAUCAUUGAUUGGUGGGUGACCCAUUUGAAUGUCACUCAAACGCGAUGGUAACUAAUAGCACCAGGAGAAAACUGAACCAUAUAUUAUCGAUGGCUUGGAGACAAUGCAUGACAAUAUUUUGUCCCAUUAUCGUACUUUUGUUAAUGUCCCAACAAUUCCAACCAUACUUAUUCAAAAAUAUGAAAACAAGCAAUAUUCAUAUAAUUUAAAUUUAAGAUGAAUGAAGGUGCUGUUAGUUAAAAUCUCAUAUAGGCGGCAUUUGAAUGUGAAAACAAUCAAUUAAAGGAUGAUUUGGAGGUAAGUAUGAAUCAUUGAAAGAGCAAAUAAUUUAUUGUACGCUGUCAGAAAAUAAUCAUAUGUUUAUGAUGACUUCUUUUCUGUCAUUACAUAUUUUGUGAUCCGUCGAGAAGCAGUCAAUUUAAAUUUUAGGUUCAUCUAAUACUUUUUAGUUUGAAAUUAAAGUAUUUAGAUAUGAUCAAAUGCAUGAUUAAAGAUAAUUCCUAUCUCUGUGCGGUUGACAGACAUCAAAGGUUCCCAUGAAAUAUCUUUUAUGCAGCACUUUACUUUAAAUUACUAACAGUAAUUGGCAUAUAAACCUUGUAAUUUUAUUUCCAAUAAAGAUUUCGUGUUGUUAAUUUUCUUGAAAUGUGUUGCUUGGCCAAGAAAUAUGAGAUCAGUACACAUUUGGACUCGUUUAAGGGGAAACAAGGAAAUUUUCAUGAAUUUUGUGAAGUCGUCAAGACAAUACCAGUCCCCUUGACACAUCGAAAAUAUUUUGAAAACUGGAAAGUGCCUACCAAAUGCAUGCUUACCCCUUCUAUGCAUCCUCUUUUUUAAUUUGGAA
rnacentral:lncRNA from 1 species